UUUUUUUUUUACUUUUAAUUAAAAUUAAGUACAUAUUUGUCAAGUGUCUUGUAUAUUAUAAGUUUUAUAAGAUAUUUCAAAUUUUUGAUCAAAAUAUCUAAGACUACCCAUGACUUGACUAUAGUAAAACUUAGUGGUAAGCAUGAUAUGCAAAAAAAUAAAAAUAAAGAAGAAGUAAUCAAGUAACAAUAAAAUAAGAAAACUUAGCAAUGGAGGCUUGGCUUUGCCACUAUAAGUUUUGUUUUUGAAUUAGGUAAAGAUGUAUCGAAUCAAACCCAUAGAAGACUGUCUUUGUCUAACACUUAUUUUAUUUAGUCGCAUUUCAUUUUAAAAAAUAAAAGCUUUACAGUAAACACCUUUUUCCAAAAGUAUUGAUUUGAUUUCUUUGUCUAUUAUUAUUCACUAUCAAUCAUCUUUGUAUUUUCAUGUUUUUUAUAAAGUUAUACAGAUUCAACAUUUUACUAUAUUUAAUUUCUGAGCAUUAGGAAAAAAGAAAACAUCUUUAAAUAGAUUCUCUUAUUUAUACCAUGUCUUCUAGAAUUUCACGAAACCACAUUAAACCAAAACCUUCAAAAUAAUACCAAAAACUUAUUAUAAACAAGUUUCUUAUCAAUUAAACAUUUACACCGGUAAUUUAAUUAUCAAAAUAAACUAAAUAUCAACUUAGUAAUAAUUGAAAGAAAAAAAUCAACUUAAAUAAUUUAGUCUUAUACAUUUAGGACCAAAUGAAAAUAAUAAAGUUUUCUCAAGAAUAAAUUGUAAUACAAAUACUACCAAUUUUUAAAAUAUAAAAUUUAUUUCAUAAAAAUUAAAAAUUGAUCCGCUAUUAAAACCUAGUACAUAUAUUAUGGCACUACACAAAAUAAACCAUUUCCAAGUGUCAUAUAUUUAUUUUUUGAUAUAAAGAGAAUUUACAGAGUAAUAAUUAAGAAAGAAAACUAUUCCAACUGUAAUACUCAGAUUUUGAUUGAUAUAGACCAAAAUUAUAUUAUGUCACAUUUCUUAUACAAAAAAAUUAAAUAAUAUCACCCAACAAAACCACACUUACUAAUUACCAUAUUAGAUUUGACAUAAUCAUUGAAACUUUACAAAUAGCACAACACUAAGAAUUUGGUCUUGAUCUCCAAUCAGAGUGAGAGAUUUUCAAAACUUUUUAAGCACAAGCUUAACUAGGCUUAAUUAACCUAACCAUUUUUAUUAGCUAAUUUGGCUGACAGAAACCUAAUUGGUUACCUUUUUCAGUUAAUAAUUUUCAUGUCAACUAAUUAAUAUUGCCACAUAACCUACCAUCACAUUAUAGUGCUAUUUAGCUGAGUGAAACCUAAUUGGCUUUCACUUACCAACUACAAGCACUUCUAAAUUAAUACUACUACUAAUACAUUACCUAACAAUUUCUUUUGGUACAUAAUAUAUUUUCCAAAGCAACACUAAUGUAUUUUCCAAAGCAAACCCAAUCUUUGAUCAUUAUGAACUUUGAUUUGUUUCGAACGCACUUAUAUAGUUUUAAAUAACUUUUAAAACAAAAAAAAAGAAACAUAUCAUUUUAAAAAUAACAUACAUUUUAGUUCUUCAAAAGAUACUUUUGAAAAGUAUAAAUGUAAACGCCAAACACAAUUAUGUACAACCGUUUGCGCUUAUUUUCUCUAUUUGAAAUGUUUACGAUUGUGAUUCAUUUGAAGAAAAAAAAGAAGUAUCUUUACAUAAUCGCAAACAUAAAUUGUUUGCGUUUGAUGUUUAUGCUUACAAAUUAACCAAAAAAAAAACAUUUUCAAAUUGUGAUUCAUUUGAAAAUUUAUCAAAAUGAGGUGCAAUGGUAAAUAAGAAAAAAAAAUUUGCGUUCAUAUAAAAUCAUGUAUUUAUUACUUAUAUAUACCAAUAAUCUUGUGAGAGAAAAAAAUACAAAAAAAAUUAUAUGCAAAAAGAUUAUAUUUUUUUGGCUACUCCAAAUCUAAGAACAAGACAAGAUAGUGUCAAAACAAUGGCUAAGAUCUUCCCACACAAGAGACUAGUAAGCACAACCACGAUCAGGGCAACACCAUUCAUUGUAUCUCCUCCCUUUGAUCUCAUCAAUGGCGUUGGAUUCAUCAUCUCUUCGUCUCUCUCAGACUCAAUACUCAUCUCUGUUUUAUCUUUUAGAACCAAACUCGAGACUUCUUCAAUCAAAGACUCUUCUUUGGUCUUCAUCGUUAACUUCUUCUUUUUACUAAAACUCCUCAGCUUCUUCAAAAUCUUCGAUUUUAGUCUCGAACUUUUAUCUGUUGACUUCUCGUCCUUUGUCAAAAGAUCACGAAUUGUUAAAUCUUUGGAAUUCGAAUCCUCUGUUUCAGCUACUACAUGUUGCUCUGUUUCUUUGUGAACUCGAGUUUCAUCGAAAGUUUCGAUUUUUACGUGGGAAAUCGCGUUUUCGACUUUGUUACAGAGCUUGGAGCGCGUGAAAAGACGCGCCGUCACGAGCUCUGUUAAGAGAAGAGCAAAAGCGGAGAGAGUGAUUCCUACAGUGAGCUUCUUCUUCGUGCUCAAGGCGAGCAACGCCACUACUAAAACCUUAAACGCCAUCAAAACAAACGCACCGCUUCCACCGCAAACGCAAACGCUAUUUUUAACCGCCGCUGGUUUCCCUUUAACACUAUUAGCUUUCUCGAUCUUACUUUUUACAGCUUCCCUCUUCGUGGGCUUUUCCAAAACCGUAUCUUGAUUAUUAAUCAACGAAGAAGCGGUUGGAGCGGUUUGAAUCUGGCGUUCGAUUCGUUGAAAGCGUUUAGAAGGUUGUUUCUUGAAACGAUCGCGGUUUUUAAAGAAGAGAUCGAUCAGAGAAGCUGGGAAGCCAGUUUCUACGAACAAAGAACCGUCGCGUUUCGUAGAGUUCUUCUGAAACUCUGACAAGAAUCUUAAGAUUCGACUCGACUUUGGUUUUUUCCAUGCUAGAGACAUGACUAUGACAAAACCGAACAAAGGAGAGACCUUUGAGUUGUGUUUGGUUUUUUUUUUUUUUUUGUGGGUUAGAAGAGAGAUCGAUGAAGAGUUUAAGUGACAAGUCGAAGCAAUUUAUAUAUACUACUAGUACAUGGGAAGUGAAGAAGGAUCGGAGAAAGUGAAAGGUUCACUUUUUUUUAUGAGUGUGUGUAUUUUAAAACACGAGCUAAAUGAUGAGUAAUUAUAGAGAAAACGGAAAGAGAGAAAUAUAUAAAAUUUUCAAGUACUAUAAAGUUUUAAAGUUGUACAAAACCGAGUUAAGGAAUUAUAUUUAUAAAGUAUAUUUAGCUUUUUCUAUACUUUAGAUUUUUAAAAGUUAAAGAUGCUUGAAAAUUUUGGAAAAUUCUAUAAGAAAUUUGAAGUAUAUGUAUUUAGCUUUUUUACUUUGAUUUUUUUAUUGAAUGUAAAAAGAUGUUGGAAAAUUGAGAAAUUUGGCAAAAAUUCUUGUGAAGAAGUACGUUAAAGAUCUAUUAUAAUCAUUUUAAAAAGAUUUAAUUUAUAAUAUUAAGAGUACAAGAAAAUUCCAAAUUAGUGACUUUAAUCUCAUUUUGAUAUUGGAAUCUACCUACAAUAGGAAUUUUUUUUAUGGGUUGGCAUGAGCCUGUAAUCCAUUUUAUUUACAAAGUUUAGAUUGUUCCAUAAAGUUUUAUAUCAAAAAUAACUAUAUUUGUAAGGAAAAAUGUUUUUUUUACCUUCUUUUUUUUUGGAAUUUUUAUUUUAUCUUAUUUAAAGUAAAAGCUUUUGGACAAACUUGUUUUAAGAUGGAUUUAAUAACAACAACACACAUUAUCAACAUACACGUCUCAUACCACUAAUUAAAGAGCUAGUGCUAAAGAGUUUCUAUGUUAGGUAUACAAUUUCUCAAAUUUUAACUUAGUACAACCAUUGCUCAACUGUAAACGAGUAAACAAGGAUCAUAACUCUAGAGCCAGACUAGCUUUAUUAUAAAUAAUCAAUUAUUGCAAGUUCUACUUAAAUCACUUGCAAAAGCUUCACGUUGUCUUCUAUAUGGUUUAUAGAAAGGUACUAAUUAACUAGUUUAUAGAGAUACAGUUCACUUCCUUGGAUUUGAAGUCUUAUAAUUGUCAACUCUCUCGAUAUUAAGGCUUAAGAGACGUCGAGAUCAGUCCUUUCAUAAGAGGACCGAGCAGGGGAGAACAACUAAAACAUCUCUCCACAAGGAUCAAGAAGUCAAUGACCGUGCUCGUAAUCUUUUCCUAGAAGUACUUAAGAACUAAGAAGAUACUAAAACGUCUCUUCAAAACCGACACGAAGAACCUUGAGGGUUGAAGAAGCUGACAAAGGGAACAAAUUUUUGGGGUCAAUCAUCUCUAGAAACUAUAGAAUCUUUUACUUCAAAUAAACUCUAUCUAAUUAAGAUUGGCACAUCGAACACUCUAAAGUCUAAACAAAGUGUAAAUCUUCUUUUCUUAUUGCCCUUUUCGACAUCAAAACAAGUAACAAGAGAGAACCAUGGGCCUAGAGCCCGUAGUCCAUUUUGGUCCAACAACAGCCAAUAUACAAUAUUGUGUGUUGUGUGAUGUUAACUACUUGAUUCUGUCUCUGUCCAAAAAACAAACACAUUCAUAUCUUGGUAGUCAUGUAAGCCUUUGCUUCUUCCUUUGUAGUCAGCUUUAAAGGUUUGCUAUUGCUACUAUCAUAAUGUACCAUUGGUGUAAGUGUAAUGAGAAUAUAUGAGCACAGUGUUUCUGUGUUCAUGCUUGCCUACUAAUUGUAUUGUGGUAUCCAAGUUUUCAGUACUACAUUGAUCUCACAUUCAACUUUUCAGCUAAGUGUUUAGAAUUGUGUCUUAGUCAGAUGAAUCAUGCCUGAUCUUCACGGCUUUAGAGGCUCAUGUAAACUAAACUCAUCAAUGGUAUACACAAGAUUCUAGAUUACUAUUGAAUAGUUGUUGAUAGAAUCUGAAUCAAGAAAUGAAAAUACUUAGGGAUAUAUCGUGAAGGUGGCCUUUGAUGCACCAGAAUUCAUAUAUAUAACAUAUCCCUUAAUUCCAACUGCUUUGUAUGUGAGGGCCACGGACGUGUAUGUGUGUUUUGACGUUUAAUUAAGACAUACUUCCGUAUACAACAAACCAUGGCAAAUGUAACCUCUUGUUUCAUUAUAUAAACAACAAACAAUAUUGCAUACUACACAAGGCAUUUAGUUAAUACAAUAAUAUAUUAUUUUGCAAAAAAGAGACUUUGAAAAUUUUAUUGGAUCAUUGAUUUUGAUGGAUUUGGAAAUCCAAACAAAAAUCCUAUGUUAUUCAAUCUUUGAUUUUAAAAUAACUAUCAAAAUCAUGUUUUAUUGGUUGUAUGAUUUAUAAAUACUAGUUAAAAUCCUAUGUUAUUCGUUUAGUGAUUUGUUUUUGGAUUUUAAAAUCCGCAGUAUGUUUUAAAUGAAUUUGAAAGGAUUUGAUAGUGUAAAAUAUAAGGAUUCAAAUCUAAGGAUAAAACAUGUUAUUUCAAAAUCCAUGUAUUUUGAUUUCAUAAAUAAUAAGGAUUCACAAAUUCUAGGUGGAUUUACAAAUCCAUAAACCAAUAACCAAGCUUCUAUCUUAUAAGUUCAAAAUUGUAUGUACUUUUAUGGCUUAAUUAUGUUAUGUAACUUUAAGGAUAAUUUUAUUGCUCUUUAAGAUUCAUCAUUUUAGAUAUAAAGAGUCCCUAAUAUUUGUAUUUUUGCUAUACCAAAAGUGAUGGGCCUUUUUCAACUAUAAAGAUGGCCCAAAAAUAUGAUCUGUGGGUCUACCAUAGUCAAAACUUGCUUUGAUUGAUGCAUAAUUGUUGUAAAACAAUACCGGUUUUGGCAGAUGAUUAAACCGGGCUAUAAAUUAGAGAACUCAAUAAUCUCUGUCUUCAAUAAAUUUCCAAAAAUAAUGUCAUUUGUCAUUACGUUAUAAUAACCGGCAAAAAAAAUAAAUUAUCUCUUUUGUACCAUUCACAAAUGUAAUUUUUUAUUUAUUUUAAUAAUAUUACUUUAAUAAAUACCAAAAAUAUCUUCUAGACAAGUGGGACAGUACAGAUAUAUUUUGAAAUCCUCCGCUGUCAAUCUGUCAUACAGCGCAGAGUACACAAAUCGAAACUAACAAAACAAUAAGGGUACCAUUUAAAAUAUUAAACAAACCAAAAGGACCAAGUUGCAAAUAAAAACAAAGUAAAAGGACUUAAUUGUAAAUAAAUAUUUUAGAAAGCUUAUUGAAGAAGACGUAAACUAUAUAUAGCUGAUUAUUACCCAUUCCCACAAAUCCCCCUUUUUAAACCUAUUCAAAGCUAAGGACAAGAAAAAAAAAAAAAGAAAAAAAAAAACAAAGGAGUCGCCCAUCUUCUCAUUUUUUUUUUUUUUCACAACAGAGAAAACACAGAGAGGAAAAAAAAAAAUGAGAGAGAUCCUUCAUAUCCAAGGUGGUCAAUGUGGAAACCAGAUCGGAGCAAAGUUCUGGGAAGUGAUCUGCGACGAACACGGCAUUGAUCACACCGGUCAAUACGUCGGCGAUUCUCCGUUACAGCUUGAACGGAUCGAUGUGUAUUUCAACGAAGCUAGCGGUGGGAAGUACGUUCCUCGCGCUGUUCUUAUGGAUCUGGAGCCUGGUACCAUGGAUUCGCUCAGAUCUGGUCCUUUUGGUCAGAUUUUUCGUCCUGAUAACUUCGUCUUUGGCCAGUCCGGUGCUGGGAAUAACUGGGCGAAAGGUCAUUAUACCGAAGGUGCUGAGUUGAUUGAUUCCGUUCUUGAUGUUGUUAGGAAGGAGGCUGAGAACAGCGAUUGUCUUCAAGGUGAGAACAAGUUUUUGAAUCUCGAUCUGUUUUUUUUUUUUGUAUAAUCUCGAUUGAUGUAGCGCUUAGGAACGAGAACAAUCGAACUCGAUUUAGGUCUUCGUUGAUUGAUGUGUUUGAGAUGGUUUUUGUGUUAUGUACAUGUUCUUAUAUAUAUGGUUUUUGUUUCUUGGAUUUAGGUUUCCAAGUGUGCCAUUCAUUGGGUGGAGGAACCGGAUCUGGAAUGGGAACUCUUUUGAUUUCUAAGAUUAGAGAAGAGUAUCCAGAUCGUAUGAUGAUGACGUUCUCUGUGUUUCCUUCUCCUAAGGUCUCUGACACUGUUGUUGAGCCAUACAACGCUACUCUCUCUGUGCAUCAGCUUGUUGAAAACGCUGACGAGUGUAUGGUUUUGGACAAUGAAGCUCUUUACGAUAUCUGUUUCCGUACAUUGAAGCUUGCCAAUCCCACCUGUGAGUAAAUUAUACAAUCUCUCGUUUAAUUUUGUUCAUAGAACAGGAUUGAUUAGUGUAUUUGUGUUAUGUGAUCGAGUUCUGACUUGUUUUUGUUUCUUUUGUGUUUUGUUAGUUGGUGAUCUUAACCACCUCAUCUCUGCUACAAUGAGUGGUGUUACAUGCUGUCUCCGUUUCCCUGGUCAGCUUAACUCUGACCUUAGGAAGCUUGCUGUGAACCUUAUCCCCUUCCCAAGGCUUCACUUCUUCAUGGUUGGUUUCGCUCCGUUGACAUCGAGAGGAUCACAGCAGUACAGUGCCUUGAGUGUCCCUGAACUGACCCAGCAGAUGUGGGAUGCAAAGAACAUGAUGUGCGCUGCUGACCCUCGUCACGGACGUUACUUGACUGCAUCCGCUGUGUUCCGUGGAAAGCUGAGCACGAAAGAGGUUGAUGAGCAGAUGAUGAACAUUCAGAACAAAAACUCAUCAUACUUUGUUGAAUGGAUCCCAAACAACGUCAAGUCCAGUGUCUGUGAUAUCGCACCAAAGGGUUUGAAAAUGGCGUCGACUUUCAUUGGUAACUCAACUUCAAUCCAGGAGAUGUUCAGGCGUGUAAGCGAACAGUUCACAGCCAUGUUCAGGAGAAAGGCUUUCCUCCAUUGGUACACAGGUGAAGGCAUGGACGAGAUGGAGUUCACUGAAGCAGAGAGUAACAUGAAUGAUCUUGUCGCAGAGUACCAGCAGUACCAAGAUGCUACAGCCGGAGAAGAGGAGUACGAGGAGGAAGAAGAGGAGUACGAGGCUUAAGAUGUUGUCAACCGCUCCAUUGGAUUCGUAAGCUGUGUAAGCAAGCAGCAUUCCCUUUCUUCUUUCCCCCUCAAUCCUGAAUUUUUUUUCGUAAUAUCUCUUAAUUUCGUUCAUGUGUGUUCGUUCUGUUAUUGAAACCCAAUCUCGUUCUGGAUUUGUUUAAAACUUUUGCGUGUAUUGCUUAUUGUUUUUGUCAGUGAAAAAAAAAAUAUUGCUUUUGUUCUUUCAAGUUUAUGUCCCCAUUUUGCAAAAGAGCUUAAAGGUACAUUUCACUUUCGAGCAAACUUUAUAAAAAUGUGACAAAUUGUUUAAUCUAUACAUCCUUUGGUGGUAAAUCACGCCUAAACACUUAUUUGGCCAACGUGAAGAGCCUUUCUUUCACCAUUGUGAACACUUCUCUGAGCUGAAGAAGAUUCUGAAGCAAUUCGUUGACAUGCUUUUUCGUUAUCUUCCCUUUCUUUGAUCAAAUCUGCACACAACUUCCUUGCUUUGCUUGUCAUGCAAUCUGCUUCACCACUGAUGAAUUUAUGGAGUUCGUCAAUCAAAUUCUGAUCCAGUUUCUUCCCUUUAGUAGUCGAGGCUGCAGUUCCUACACUUUCCAAGUUCGUCUCGUAAUGAUUCCCAAACCUUAGCCUUCGAGCAGCACCAACUGUCAAACUCCAUUUUCUCUGGUCUACUUCCUCAUCUUCUCCCCAUUUACAUUCCCGGGGUUGUGUAUUCAGACCUGGCGAGUUUUGUUCAACCGAUUCAGAGGAAACAUGCGAGUUCGUCUUGUAAAUGUUACCCGGUUCUGAGCUAGUUCCAGCUAGAGCCUUGUUAUCUUUCAUCCAACGUGAACACCUGAAAGAGAAGUUAUCUGAAAAGCUACUGCUCAACAACAAUUCUUCUGGACUCUCUGCUACUGUUGCCUGUUCUUUUUCUGCUAACAUCUCAGUAGCCCGUUCGAAAGAUUUGAAAAACGGUUCCUUGUGUCUUACAUCCUCAAGCAGAGAUUUAGCUUCCGGGAUUCUAUCCAUAUGAAUCAAACAUAUCGCAAGAUUGCACAGCUUGUUAUUGUCAGGCUCCAAAGACAACGCAUUCCUAUCACAGUAAAACCCAUUCACACAUGUUUAAGGCAAAUCAAAACAUCAAUAUGUUCAAUAAGCUCAAUGAUCUGUCACACAAACCUGUAAUACUGCUCUGCAACUUCAUAACUAUGAAUCUGUAAGUGAACCCAAGCUAAGUUCCCUAGAAUCCUAUAUUCAACAAAGCCAAAGAACUACUCUUCAGCUAUAAAACAGAACCAGGAGAUCAUUUGUAGUGGGAUGCAAACACUUCAGUUCUUACCGCGCUUUCUCAUGCUCGAUAGUGAUGCUUCUCUGCUUCCCGUUCCUUCUUUUCGCAGCUCUGAUCCUACCACCAUAGAGCUUGUCUUGUUCAAGUGUUUUCAGUUUGUGUUCAAGCAACUCAAUUUCCUCUUGAAACCUCCCUGACUUCUGCCAAAACCCAAAUCUCAAUCAUAGUUACAUACUGAGCAUACAAAGUAGCUUGAAAACUAGUCAUCAGACUGAUAAAGCGAUUACCUUAUAGAGUUCACAUAACAAGUUAUCAAUAGAAUCUUGGGAUUCAAAGGAGCAGAGAUAUCGAAAAGACUUGAUAGCUUCGAUUCCUUCAUUAGAUCGAUCCAAUUGUUUCAUAACUAAAGCCAUGUCCUUCAACGCACUAUCAACUCGAUCUCCAGCAUUGAUCGCAGCCCAAAACAACGAGAUAGCUAAAUCCAAGUCUUUAGAAACCAACUGUUCUUGAAAAAAAAUCAUAUAAACGAAGACAAUUCAAUUAAAAAAACCCAAACUUAGUCACAGGAGAAUAAGAUUCAUAAACCCUAAAAUUAGUCAAAUUGAUAAUAUUACCUGAGCAUGCUUGGCUCUCACGUAAGGGGAAUCACCAAAAGGAACCUUGUGGAUCAUGUGAAACAGUUCUUGAUUCUUGAUCGAAGACGUUCUUUUUUUUCUCUCCGACAUUGGCAUCGCCGCGUAAACUCUUCUCGUCGUGUCCCAUGACGGUGGUGGAGUCCAUAAACCACGACGGCUCUCACGACUCGGCAUAACGAGAAACUUUUUCGAUUUUCUCGGAAAAAAUCAAGACUUUUUUUUCUCACGCACUUACUUUAAUUUUCUCGAGAAAAAACGUUUCCGAUGUCAGAUUCUUGGGUUCCGUUGAGUAUUUUUGUUUAAAGAUCAAGAACCCAAGGCAAUUCCGAACCGGAAGAAGAGAAAAGACUGACGGAGAAAAUUUUCCCGAGAAAAUUGGAGUUAAAAAUCCAAUCUUUUGAAUGUUCUCUGGAGAAGAGAGAAAGAGAGUAACAAAUCUUUAUAUAGAGUUGGGUUUCAAUUACCUAACGAAAACAAACGGGAAUUAAUUGAAACAUUAAUAUAAAAAUAAGGACUUGUAUUUAAAUAAAAUUAGUUUCUGACGGGGACAUAUUGGUAAUUCACUCAAAUCUUGUAAAAUUUUGAACCUUAACGGUCUUAUUCAGUUUCCAAACGUUUAGAUUAGCUUAAACGACGUCAUUUAGUUAUAUGAGACCAUAAUGGGCUUCAAAGGGCUAAGGAUUUUUAUGACAAUUUAAAAGCCCAUAAGGCCGUGAGCUCGCCGUGAUCGUCUUUAUAACAAUAACCGUAACAAUACUCAUCACCAACGCCGUGAAGCCGCCGCGUUUAAAUCUUCAGUUGAUAUUCAACCGGAAUGGAAUAUGCUUGAGCAGAUUCCUUUCUCAACUUUUUCAAAGCUUUCAUUUACAGUUCAAGAGCCUGAAGAUCUUCUUCUUUGUGGUGGGCUUGAGAGUUAUGAUCGGAGUUUUGAUCGUAUCACACCUAAAGCUGAUCGUAGACUUGAGCGUUUCAAGAACAGGAGCUUUAAGGUUACUACAAGUGAUGAUCUUGUGAUUAGGCGUCUUGCUAAGGAAGAUAAAGCUACUGUUUUUGCUACUGAUGCGAUUUUAGCUGCUCUUAUGUGUGCUCCUAGAUCGGUUUAUUCUUGGGAUCUUGUGAUUCAACGUGUUGGGAACAAGCUUUUCUUUGAUAAGAGAGAUGGGUCACCACUAGAUUUGUUAUCUGUUCAUGAGACUUCUCAAGAUCCUUUGCCCGAAGCUAGGGAUGAUAUUAACUCUGUUCAUUCUCUAGGUAUGGAGGCUGCUUAUAUUAAUCAGAGUUUUGCACAGCAGGUUUUGGUUAGGAAUGAGAAAAGAGAAGCUUUUGAUGAGCCAAGUCCUAAUGUUAAUGAAGGUGAAGAGAAUGCUUCUGUUGCUUAUAGGUAUAGGAGAUGGAAGCUUGAUGAUAGUAUGUAUUUAGUUGCUAGAUGUGAGUUACAGAGCACUGUUGAUCUGAAUAACCAGAGAUCGUUCUUAACUUUGAAUGCUCUUAACGAGUUCGAUCCUAAAUACUCUGGUGUUGAUUGGAGACAAAAGCUCGAGACUCAAAGAGGUGCGGUUUUAGCUAAUGAGUUGAAGAACAAUGGUAAUAAGUUGGCGAAAUGGACCGCGCAAGCUAUCUUGGCUAAUGCUGAUAUGAUGAAGAUUGGGUUUGUCUCAAGGGUUCAUCCUCGUGAUCAUUUCAACCAUGUUAUAUUAUCGGUUUUUGGGGUAUAAGCCGAAGGAUUUCGCUGGGCAGAUCAAUCUUAACACUAACAACAUGUGGGGAAUAGUGAAGUCGAUUGUUGAUCUGUGUAUGAAGUUAAGUGAAGGAAAGUAUGUAUUAGUGAAGGAUCCAUCGAAGCCUCAAGUUAGGAUUUACGAAGUUCCGGCUGAUGCAUUUGAGAAUGAUUAUGUGGAAGAGCCUCUUCCCGAGAAUGAACAGGUUCAGCCACCUGAGGAGAAUACUGAAGCAGGAGCUGAGACUAAUGGAGCUUCCUCUACUAACGUAUCUGCAGAAGAUAAGAAACCCGAAGAUCAAGCCUGAUUGUGAUGAUAUGGUAUAUUUUGAGUUACUUUUCAGAAAUGUUCCCAAAUUGUUCACUGUUCAUAUAAUAGACAGUUUAUGUGAUUGGUUCAUACUCUUUAGCUGAAUGAUUAAAGAUUGUUGUUGUUUUUGAAUUAGCACAACUCCUCAUUUCAUAAGUUCUUCGAGUUCCAACAGUACAUACAACACCUUUUUAUCUGAGGCUUCAGAUUUUGUUCGCUAUCCAUAUAUUUAAGGUGGACUUUAGAGGAGCAAUGAGAGAUAUUAAGAUGACUACUAUAGAUAAUUAAUCGUUUCUAGCGCUCAAGGUGCAAUUUGAAUGUUUCACCUUCUUCCAUCAAUAUGUUGAAAACAUGUAUCUCUAGGUUCUGAACUUUCAGCUGCUCUUGGUUCUAAAAAGCUCUGUUUACUCUGUUCACGAGAUAGUUCAUCUCGGUUCCUAUUUUUCUCAGUAACUAAAAAGAUCAUGUCUAAAGAUCAUAUUUUACUCGAGAUAGUGUAGACAUAACACAAACACUUGGAUCAUAUGUCUCAAUAUUAAUAUGCAGGAUUAACCUACUGUGCUGUUGAAAGCAUUAGAUCAAUAGUAAGUGCUGUUGAAACUUUAAAUCUUGUGAAGUUGAAAUAUGAGAAUCUAUAAAUUCUUGUAGGAGGGAUGAUGCCUUAAGAUGUUGCUUGUUCUCUGUUUAGGACAAGCUUUAUAUGUAGAGUAGAAUCUCUUAUGACAAUUAUGUCUAGUUUUUGAACACAAGUUGCGAUGUUCCUGAGACCCUAGGAAUAUCUUUCAACUUCUUCAUCAUUGCGUCUUUGUCUUUGAGAUUUAAGUCUGGUAAUGGUCUCAUUGAGAUCGUUGCCGUUUCCAAAAUUCCAGAGUUACUUAGAAUGUAUUCCACCAAUUCUAACUCUUCUUCUCUUCCUGUAUAGUCUAUUAACUCAAACUUCUCCAGACUUGAUGACAAGCACUCGGGAGUGUAGCCCGUUUCGCUCCACGAAGCAGAGGCCAUAGGGGGUUUAUUGGUUAAUCUCUGAGAAACAACACUAUGCUAUCAAUACAUUUACACACCACCAUGGUUUAUAUAUUUAUAAGUGAGUUGAGGGAUACGUACAUAAUCAACUAUAAGAGACUUCAGCUUAGGAGUAUUUUCAAGGAAUGGCACAAGUGAAUCCAUCCAGUCUGAGUUCCAUGGACAUAUCCUACACACUGUCAGCCGAGGGAAUUUGAUGGUUUUGCAACACCGAAUCUGCGACUCACGAACAAAUCAUCAUAGUUAGUAGAUGCAACAAUAUGAUUACGAAGGGAGAGAGAGGGAGAGUUACCAUUUCGUUUGUCAAAUCCAUCUUGAGAAACGAGAUGGAGGAAAAAGAUCUUAAGAAGUUGUCCAUGUCAGGGAAAUUCCCGCCAACGUCGAUAUAAGCUUGCUCGAAACAAGGCGUAUGCUCGAUUGAGCAAGAGUCUCCUGAAUAAUCAGUGAAUUUAAAUCCUGUUAAUGCAGGAGUGUCAAUAACCAAGCCCCUACCGCUAUCUUCUUCUACGUCACUAUCUUCUUCUACAUCACUAUCUCCUUCUACGUCACUAUCUUCUUCUACUUCACUAUCUUCUUCCCCAUCACUGUAAGGUAUAUCUAGAUGAUCAUAGUACUCAUACUUGAAUACCAAUAGAGAAGGAACUUUCACAGUGAACCUUUUAACAUUGUCAUCCUUUAUCCGUUUAACAAUUAUAAGCUUGAGAACGGGGCAGCCUGAUAAGAGCCUAUCGAGAGAUUCAUCGUUUUUAUACACCACACAGCGCAAAAUGAGGACGGUAAGUGAUUGGAGGCGGGCGGUACAAGGAACAUCCACGAGAAUCUUAUGGGAGAGAUAUAGUACCUCGAGAGUUGCGCACGAGUAAAGGCUAUUGGGCAAGCUUACUGGGUCUGCGGACCAUAGAAGCUCGAGUAUUAGCACAGCCACGCGGCGAUCAACAGCCUUUGCAACACACUUUCCGACAUCAGCAUCACUAGGACAUUGUGGACCGAGUUGUAUUAGCAAAAAUUGUAAAACAUGUGCUUUGUGGAGUUGCAGUGACUUAUCAAGAAACCACCAAACGCUCUUUUUACUCUUAUCAAGAUUGUUUUCUUUGUAGACAAGUUUCGGCAACAUUGUCCAUAUAAAACGCCAUUGUUUAGACAGAACCAUGGUAGCGACUGCAUCUUUGGUCGGCACAUACUUGAGUAUAUUUACAAGCAAAUCUUCGGGUAAAGCACUGAUCAUGUCUUCACAAACUCUCUCUUCAAUUCUCCCACCACAAACUUUUGUUGUUUCCAGCAUCUUCACAUAUACGCAAAACCCUAAGAGAAGAAAGACGACAGCUUAAAACAAAUUUGUAUUUACUUUUUUUUUUCCCUUUCAAUUAUAUAUAUAGUCACCAACUAGCUAGGGUUUGAAAACAUUAACUUGAAUAUCACGAAACGACACCAUGCAUGCGUGCUAAUAUGGGCCGUAGUAACUACUAAAGAAUGUUUUUUGGAAAAUCGAUUUUAUACUUUUAUUAUAAACAACUACCGGUUAUGAAGAUAGAUACAGUAUCUAUAUAAUAAUACGCCUAUUUCCAAUUUCUUUUGGUUUCCACACCUAGGGUUUUGACUCGUGAAGAUGACAGUAGAAGAAAAGAUUGAGAACGUUGAAGAGACAAUUUGUAAAGACAAGAUUAGUGAGUUGCCCGAAGAUUUGCUUGUAAGGAUAUUAAGUCUUGUCCCAAUAAAAGACGCUGUGGCCACCAUGUUUCUGUCGAAACGAUGGUUCUCUGUUUGGACGAUGAUACCAACACUUGAGUACAAAGACAACGAUUUUCAACAUUAUGCUGAUUUCAACUAUAACGUUUGGAAUUUUCUUGACAAAUCGAUGCAACUACACAAGGCACCUGUAAUAGACAGCUUGUGCGUGAAAAUCGGUCAAUUAUGUCCUACUGAUGUUGAUGUCGUAAAGUGGGUGUAUAAAGAUUCUCGUGCGAAUCUCUCGUGAAACUGACUCUCUGCGACAAGAUUCUCGUGGAUGUUCCUUCUACUCUAUGCCUACCAUCUCUUAGAAAGCUCCAUCUAUACUGUGUGGUGUAUAAAGAUGAUGAUUCUAUUGUCAGGUUCUUAUCGGGCUGCCCCGUUCUAAAGUGUCUAUACGUGAAGCGGAAAGAGAAUGACAAUGUGAAAAAGUUCACUAUAAAAGUUCCUUCUUUAUUGGUGUUAGAUUAUGCUAAUCUUGUAGAUGGUUAUGAUGAUCAAGAACAUUCCCUGGUUAUCGAUACUCCAAGAUUAGAGGACUUUUACAUCAGUGCUUCUUUAGGAGACUCUAGCUCCAUCGAGAAUAUGCCUUUCCUCAAGUAUGCAUGUAUCAGUCUGUUUCAUGAAAAGUUUCUACGUUGUGUUUCUUCGGUCUCAUCUCUUCGGUUCUUUUUGUGUGAUGAAAUGGUACAACUAUCUUUUAUUUCUCUAUUAGUACUCUCUCUUGUUCCUUAUGAGCAUAUACAAACGUUGUGUUUCUUUCGUUGCAGCUUGUGUGUAGUAGCACUAUCAAAUUCUCUAGACUUUUAAAGUUAAGUAUAUGUCCACUAGAAUCAAAUUGGUUCGAACCACUCAUACCUUUACUCGAAAACUCUCCUAAACUAAAAGAACUAUGGAUAGAUUCUGUAAGUGUAUAUAUAUAUAUAUAUUUCCUCCUUGUCUUCGAGCUUUCUUUAUGGACUUUUAAUUUAUAAAGUUAAUUAGAAUGUGUUUAAAAUAUAGCCAUCGUUGCUUCUCAGGAUAUAUGCGGUGGUAUUGCACUUUCAUGGAACCAACCGAUCUCCACUCCGGGAUGCUUGUCGUCACAGCUCGAAAUCUUUAAAUGGAACAAAUAUGGAGGCACAGAGGGAGAGGAACAGUUCUUGAGAUACGUCUUAGCCAACUCUAAGUGUUUAAAUACCGCGAUUAUCGAUAUCCAUGUGAAAUACAACUUGGUAAUGAAAUACAAAGAGGAAGUGAUGGAGAAGUUGAAAGAUAUUCCUAGGGCUUCAACAACAUCUCAGCUAUUGUUCACAUAAAUUUAGCUAGCGCAUUUAAACACAGAACCGCUUCUUGUAUGAUAACACCAUGUUUUCUUGUAGUGAAGGAUCCAACUCCAGCUAAUGUGGAAACUUAAGCUUUCUAACUUAUAAACUUGACUAGUUGAUUUUCAUAUCCUUUUCCCCAUAUACCUUAAUUAUGUUAAAGCCUAAAAACAUUUUUAAACUACAAAGAUUUUAUGGAGAAGUACAAAACCAUUAUUUCUCUUUACUGUUAUGUAAAGAUUUAUUGUUUUGGCAAGGUAGUCUAAAUUUUGAUUAGAUAUAUAUCGCUUAAUUAGUUUUAUAGGAUCCGUAUAUAUAUUAAAGACAUUUACCGGUUACAAUGUAUUUACGAAUACGCCUAUUACAUAUUUCUUUGGGUUUCGGCAACUAGGGUUUUGCCUCGUGAAGAUGACAGAAGACAAAAAAAUUGAGAUCGUUGAAAACACUAUUUGUCAAGACAAGAUUAGUGAGUUACCCCAAGAUUUGCUUGUAAUGAUAUUGAGUCUUGUCCCAAUAAAAGACGCAGUGACCACCAUGUUUCUGUCGAAACGAUGGCUCUCUGUUUGGACAAUGAUACCAACACUUGAGUACAAAGACAACGAUGUUCAAGAUUAUGCUUAAUUAUUUCAACGAUGACUAUGUCUAUGACGCUGCCGUAUGGUACAAGGAAAUGAAAAAGAGCGUUUGGAAUCUUCUUGACAAAUCGAUGCAACUACACAAGGCACCUGUGAUAGACUGCUUACGGGUGAAACUAGGUCAAUUAUGUCCUACUGAUGUUGAUGUCGUAAAGUGGUGUUCAAACGCUGUUUCUCGCUGCUUGCGUGACCUAGAAUUCGUCCUCUCCUGGUCUGCAGAUCCAACCACCUUGCCUAGUAGCCUUUACUUCUGCGAAUCUCUCGUGAAACUGACUCUCUGCCACAAGAUCCUCGUGGAUGCAUGUUCCUUCUCUAGUAUGCCUCCCAUCCCUAAGAGUGCUUGAUCUAAACUGUGUGGUGUAUAAAGACGAGUAUUCUCAAGUUAGGCUCUUAUCUAGCUGCCCCGUUCUAAAGUGUCUAUACGUGAGGCGGAACAAGACUGACAAUAUGAAAAAGUUCACUAUAAAAGUUCCUUCUUUAUUGGAGUUAGAUUAUGCUGGUUAUGAUGUAGGGCAUGCCCUGGUUAUCAAUACUCCGAGAUUAGAGGUUUGUAGUAUCUAUGGUUUUGUUGGAGACUCUAUCUCGAUCGAGAAUAUGCCUUUUCUCAAGUGGGCAUAUAUCAAGCUUGGCUCUUGCACUAAUGAAAAGUUGCUAAGUUGUGUUUCUUCAGUCUCAACUCUUCAGUUCUUUUUGUCUGAUGAAAUGGUAGAAAUUUCUUCUAUAUUUCUAUUAACUAGUCUUUCUUAAUUUUUCCUUAUGAGCAUCUACUAAUUAACGUUUGUGUAUGUUUAGUCGCAGCUUAUGUGUAGUAGGACUAUCAAAUUCUCUAGACUUUUAAAGUUAAUUAAGACUAUGUCCACGAGAAUCAGACUGGUUUGAGCCACUCAUAUCUUUACUUGAAAACUCACCAAAACUAAAAGAACUAUGGCUAGAUUGUGUACGUGUAUAUAUCCUCUUCUAUAGCUUUAUUAAAAUAUUUUAAAAUUCAAAAUAUGUAACCAUGCAUCGUUGCUUUAUUAGGAUUGGGGACCAGCUACACUUUCAUGCUUGUCGUCGCAGCUUGAAAUCUUUAUUUGGAAAGAAUAUGGAGGAACAGAAGAAGAAGAAGAACAAUUCUUGAGAUACGUCUUAGCCAGCACUAAGUGUUUAAGUACCGCGACAAUCAAUCUGCAAUACACCUUGAAAAAGAAUCAUGAAGAGGAACAUUUGAUGAUGGAGAAGUUGAAACAUAUUCCUAGGGCUUCAACAACAUCUCAGCUAUUGUUCAAAUAUGUUUCGUUCAUAGACGUCCCCCUAAAUGUGUUCAUGCCGCCUUACGCAUCGUAGUUCUUCCUUUUUUGCUUCCUUAAGACCAAAAUUAUAAAAGAAAGAAAAAAGAUGCCAUUGAAGCAACUGAGUGUGUAGUUUCUUACUUAACCAAUUUGAUUCACAUUGCAAACUUGAUUAGUUGAUUUUCAUAUCCUUUUACCCAUCUCUUAUUAUAUAAAGUUGGGUUUUCAAAGUUAGCCAUUAACAAGAUCGUGACUCGUGUUAAUUGAACUAAUAAAAUGUCGACAUGUGUCAGAAAAUUAGGGGUAAUAAAUUAUAUAAAUUAGUUUUCAAAAAAAAAAAAAUAUUUUCAAAAUAGAAAGAAGAAAAUAAAAUUUCAGGAAAUUUAACAAUUACUUAGUAAUAAUCCUAAAAGAAAAAGAUAGUAUUUAUAAACUAAAUUAUAAAAACUACAGUAAAUUAUAUAGAUUAUAAAAAUGAAGUCUAAAGAAAAAAAUACAGUAAAUUAGUCAACUACAGUAAAACCUCUAUAAAUUAAUAAUGUUGGGACUACAAAAAUUUAUUAAUUUAUAGUUAUAUUAAUUUAUCUAUAAAUUAAUAUUUAUUAUUUUAUAGUGUAAAUUAAUAAUUAUUAAUUUAUAGUGGUAUUUUAACUUUUAUUUUGUUUUGAAAUUAUGAAUUGGGACAAUUUUACAAAAUUAGAUUAAUUUUUAAGAUUAUAUAAAUUUUUGUAGUUUAGAAUUGAAUUCUAUAUUUAUAUAUAAAAAAUAACAAUGAAUUAAAAAAUUUAUAAAUAAAUCUGCUUCUAUACAAAUUACAUCCAUAAAUUCAAAUUUAUGAUUAAUACCUCAAUUGUUAUCUUUUAACAUCCUAUAAAACAAACAAAAAAUGAAUAUGAUGCAUAUUUAUAAAUAGAAAACAUUAAAACAAAUUCGCUUACUUUAUGAUGUUAUGGAAUAUAUUAUAAGAUUAUAGUUUAAAAAUAUAACAUAAUUUUUUUUAUAAAGAUGAGGUCUAGGAGAAAUUCAUUUUUAGAAAAAACUAAAAGCAUAUUUCAACAUAAUUACUUAACCAAAAUAAAAGCAUAUUUCUAUAUAUAAUAUACAUGAUUAUUAAUUUAUGUUAUUAUUGGGACUAUAUUUACAUAAGGAUUUCAAAAAAACUUAUUAUCUUAUUAUCUUAUCGAAUUUAAUUAAUUUUUACACUGGCCCGACUUGGGACCAGCAAAAUUUAUUAAUUUAUAGUGUUUAUUAAUUUAUAGAGUAUUAAUUUAUAGAGGUUUUACUGUAUAAGUUAAUCUUAGAAAAUAUUUGCAUUAUCUUGUAUAUUAUGUAAUAUUUAAAUAUUUUUAUUCAGUAAAUUAAUAUAAUUAAGUUAGUCAUUAACAUGAUCAUGCCAUGUGUCAAUUGUAUCGAUAAGAUAUCGACAUGUGUAAAUUUAAGGUUUUAUGUCAAUUUUUUUUUUACAUGUAUAGCUUAUUUAUCAAAAUUAUGUACAUGAGUCACUCGAGUUUCUGAAUACAACUAGGAACAAAUCAGAGCAAAUAUAUAGCAAGAGAAAACAGUUCAAGUUUUUAUGUCGAUUAAGGUUUAUAAUUAAAGAAUAGAGUUUAGACUACACAAUUUAUAUAAGGUUAUUUAUCGGUUUCAAUUUAUAAAAGAGAAUUAAGAUUUAAAUAAUACAAUUAAACGAGAUUAUGUGUUUAUUAAAUAUAUUUUUUUUACUUUUUCUAAUAGGUUAUAAUUGUUUAAAUGUAAAUUUAAUAUAUCACUGUACAAUUUCAUUGGCUAAAACAAUUUUUUGGUGAUUGAUAAUUUAACAUUAUCAAUUAGUUUGUUCAACAUGCAAUAUUUUUGAUUCAUACGUGAAAAUAAAAAUAAAUUGAUAAUAAUUUUAUAGGUAUGAAUCUUCAGUUAUUGAUGAAAAUAUUUGUAUAUCUUUAGGGAAUAUUUUUUUAUCUGAAGAUAUUAUAAAAUUUUGUUUAUGUAAUGAUUUUAAAAUUUAAACACAUGAAAACACAAAAAAAAAAUGAAAUAAAUAAUAAUUUAUUUAGGUAUGAAUUUUCAAUUAUUUGAUGAGAAGAUUUGUAUAUCUUUAAUUCUGUUUUGUUUUAUAAAUUUUAACUCAUUUAAAAUUAUUAUAACAUUAGAUAAAAUUUACACUAAUUUUUAACCCUCGUUUUUCGCGGGCUCUUAUCUAGUUUAUUUAUAAAGAGCCGAGUGAAACAACAAGGAGAAAAAUGAAGAUAAAUAUAUUUAAAUUUUAUUAUUAUUAUUAUUAUUAAUUUUUUAAAAGCUACUGUAAUAUCAAUUAAAUUAAUAUUUUUAGGGAAACUAUAUCUCAUGUACUCAAAUAAAAAAAAUAUUAAGAAUCUAUACAUACUCUUUUUUAUUAGUUCUCUCUCUUAGCUAUUUAAAUUGGACAAAGCUGCCCAUAAAAUAGAUAACAAAUAUUUUAGCACAUAACAAAACAGAUAUCCAUAAUAUUAUAGAACAACUUUUACAUAUCAUUUAUAUGUUUCUUAUGUAUAAGUUAACAUAACAGAUGAAAUAUCAUAAUAAAUUAGCAUGUUAAUAUAUAAGUUAGUUGAUAUCAAUCAUAUAAUAAAUAAUUUAACUUGAUAAUUAUAAAUUUAUCAAAUAAUAUAGAGAAUUUUUGAGAAAUACCCUUUUUGGUGUACCCCUUUUUAAAAAUACCCCUCUUUUAUCCAUUUUCAAAAUACCCCUUUUCAAAUAUGAAAAAUUAUAAACUUUUAUAUGAUUAAUAAGGUACAUAAAGAUCAUUAUUACUACUGGGAGAUUAAAUCCAAAUAUUUAUAAGGUUUUAAGAGGUUCUAAACGGCAUUUAUAAGGUUUUUAUAAGGUUUUUAAAAGGUUUACACAAUUUUUAUAAGGUUUUUAAAUGAUUUUUAAAAGGUUUUUAAAAGGUAUUUAUAUGGUAUUUAUAAAAUAUAUAUAAAAAUUUACACACAUAUAAAGAUAAUUUGUGUCUAUAAAUAUAAGCUUACACAUAUGUUUUUUAUAAAUUUCAAAUUUUAUAGUGACUUUUUAAUAAAAUUAGAAAGAGGGAUAUUUUUAAAAAGUAGUAUUGGAAAAGGGGUAUUUUUAAAAUUCCCCCAAUAAUUUAUAGUUUAUAGGGGUAACAUAUGGUUUACAUAGUUAAUAGCGCUAACAUAUGAAUAACUAUAAAUAAUUUAUAGUUUAUAGGGGUAACAUAUGGUUUACAUAGUUAAUAGCGCUAACAUAUGAAUAACUAUAAAUAAUUUAACUAUAUAACUAUGAAGUUAUAAAAUAACUUAAAAUGUAUAGCGGUAACAUACGAUUAACAUAGUACGUUAUUUUAGCAAAUAUCAGUUUUUUUUUUAUUUUUUGUUAAAUCAGAUAAGAGGUAAAAAGGUAAUUUCGUUAGGGAUGAGGAAAGAGAUCUAAUUUUAAAGUUAUCACUCUAUUACUUUUUGUUUUCUGAUCUUUUGAGUACCAAUUAUUAACAAGCCCAUAUUUUUAAGCUUCUCUAUAACUUUUAAUGCGUUGGGCUAAAAAGUAAUAAUAUUAUUAUGGUUAAAGGCUGUACUUUAAGUGAUUUAAAUUUUUAUAAGUUUUUAUAUGAGUUUUUGUAAAAAUUAAUUCAAAUUCCAUUUAAAACCACAAGAUUUGUCUUGUAUUAUUGUAUUUUUUAACAAUGUAAAUCUUCUUAGAUCCUUCAUAAUUGUGAUCAAUAAUAGUGAAUUUUAAAGCAGAUUUCCAUAUCAUUUGAAUAAAAAAUUUGUAAGAGUCUAUGUCUUUAAAAUUCACUAUUAUUGAUUUCCAUAUAGUAGUCUAGCUAUAUACUCGCAAGUCUAUGUCUCUCUUACAAAUUUUAACGGUACCUUACUUAAUUAACCAAUGUUCUCAGGUUAUAUGUGUCUCUCUCUAUCUCUAUGUGUUGGUUUUUUUUUAAGGUAUUAUAAUUCGUUGUGGAAACUCGCUAUAGGAAACACAGAGUUGCGACUCUCCAAUCUUUGGCCAAUGCUCCUCUCAGGUCGAGGGGUACGUCACCGGUUUGAUUCCGGCUAUCUUCUCGGGCCAGGGGGUAGUGGGAACAAUCACCGGUUUAAUUCCGGGUAUCUUCACCGGUUUGAUUCCGGCUAUCUCUUGUGAAUCUGCAGGUAUUAUACUUACUUUCUUUUAUUUUUAUUUUUAGAUUAUAAUAAUAAUGACUAAUGAUUUCUAAAAAGUAGUUAAAAGAAAAAAGUUUUGGUUUUUCAUUUCUUAUUAGUAAACUACACAUCAACGUCUUUUACCAUAUGAAUUUUAUCAUUUUUGGCUAAAAUUUUAAAAUAUUUUUUUUUUCUUUUCAAAAACAAAUAGAAAAUUUAGAUUAAAGUUUUCAUAUUUUAAAAUCAAUGUAACAAGGCUUUAUCUAACUAUUUUUUUCAAUAAACCGGUAUACAUAUAUUAUCAUUAAAUAUUUUUAAAAUUAAGUUGUUAAAUUUAAAUAUGUUGAAAACCAACCGGACUUAGCAUCCCGUCCUUUUCAUCGGUUCCGUAAGUUUUGGUGUAUAAGUUCAACAUGUUUACACGUAUUUAAAUUUAAUAACCUUAAUUUUAUAUCCAACUGUUUUUUUUUCAAUAAACCGGUUUAAAUAUAUUAUUAUUAAAUAUUUUUAAAAUUAAGUUGUUAAAUUUAAAUACGUUGAAAACAAACUGGACUUAGUAUCCCGUCCCUUUCAUCGGGUCCGUAAGUUUUGGUGCAUAAGUUCAACAUGUUUAUACGUAUUUAAAUUUAAUAACCUUAAUUUUAAUUUUCCACAAAUAAUAUUUAACUAAAUUAUUUUGAAAUUUUUAUUUUUAACUAUACAACAUGUUUUUUUACUAAGCAAAUAUUUCCAAACUUAAGCGUUAAAUUUAAUAUGUUGAAAACAAACCGACUUAGCAUCCCGUUCCUUCUUUCGGGUAUGUAAGUUUUGGUGUACAAGUUUCAACAUGUAAAAUGUAUUUAUUUAUUUUCUUUCACAAAUCAGAUUAUACGUAAAAUAUUUUGAUGGUUUACAAAAAAAAAAAAACAGUAAAUUAGUUUGAUAUUUUAACUGAAUUUUUUAAUUUUACUAUAUAACAUGUUUUUUACUAACGAAAUAUUUUUAAACUUAAAUUUUAGAUUUAAAAAUGUUUUAAAAAAUUGGAUGUAGCAUUUCGUCCCUUAUUCCGGGUCCGUGAUUAUUUUUAAAUUUUCCUAUUUUAUUUAAAAACAUACUUAAAAUUGUAUAACCCCUUAUUUUAGUAUCGACUCAACCACUUAGAAUCUUAUUAACAUAUGAGAAAGCCUAAAUUUUUUGCAUAGUUCAGUAAUCCAUCCAUCGGAUCCCUAUAUUUUAUAUAGGAGAAUUCUCUUAAAUACCACUAAUAUUUGGAAAUACCAUUAUGAGUUUUAUUUUUCAAAAAUACCACUAAAGUACAUUUUUCCAAAAUACCACAAAAUUAAACCAAUAAUUUCAACAUUCAAAGGGGAGUUUCAAAAAUAUCCACUUUCAAACUUUAUCAAAAUCUACUAGAAAUGUUUAAAAUUUAACCUUUCGAUUUGUGCCGUGCGUGAAUCUUCACAUAUUCUUUGAACAAGUUUCAUAAUUCUCCUUGCACAACCCUAACUCCACAUUUGUUAUCUCCAUUUUCUUUCGAAAAGAUUUCCUAUCUCACUCAUCCCUUUGGAGCCUUCUUUUUGAGGGUUCUACUUCUAUGUGUGAACCUACAUAUUCACCCCUUCUUAAUAGGCAUGACCAAAAGCUAACCUUAACCGUAUUUCUAACCGUAACCGGACCGUAACCGUUUAAACCGGUUAAAAAUCUUAACCGUUAACCGUAUAAAUAAAUUAGUUACGGUUAUAAAAAAACACUAACCGUAACCGUUAAUUAACCGUAACCGUAAUAAACCGCCGGUUAACCAUACGGUUUUAAUCUUUAAAAUAAAUUAUAAAUAUAAUUGUAUACAAUGAAAAAAUACAUCUAAUAUUUGGAUAAGAUUUUCACCUUAUUAAAAGCAAUACAACAAGUUAAACUUGUGAAUAAUCAUAAUAUUUUAUACUAAACUAUUUUAAUCUUAUUUUUUUGUGCAUUUGAUGUUGAGUUUCUCGGUUUCGAUCCAAUACCCUGAUUUCGAGAACCUCCAACAAAACUUGUCAAUGCAAUACUCACUGUCCAAACUCGUUCGAGAUGAUAAAGAAUCAGAAGAUAUUGAUGAUAGUGAUGUAUCUUCAACGAGAUCAGAAGAAGAUAGUGACUAAAUUUUUUUAAUUAGCUUACCAAUUUUUUUUUAAAUAGAUUUUAAUAAACAUCAUCUAUAUUAUUAAACAAAGGUUUUUGUUACUUAAUUUUUCUAAAUAAAACAUUAUUUUAAAUGGUUUAUUGUGUCUUCUAAUAAAUCUAACCGAUUUUAAAAUUUUAUUUUUCAUUAACCAAAAUCAUUGAUUUUGUAUUUAAGCAACAACUCAUAAUUAUUUAACAAAUUUACUAUAAAUAUUUGAAUCACAUCUAUUUUAUUUGUAAAAUAAAUAUUAUCUCAUAUAUUAUUUUAUUAUUAUUAUAAAAGUUAGAAUUAUAUAAUUUUUCCUCUAAUAUUAACAUUAUAAUAAUAAUCAAAUAACCGUAAUUGUAUUUAACCGUAACCGUAAUUAACCAUAACCGUAUAUAACCGUAACCGUCUUAACCGUAUAUAUAAUGGUUAAGAUUAUGGUUAAAGAAAAUCAUAACCGUUAACCGGUGGUUAAUUAACCGUAACCGCAUUAACCGUAACUGUGGUCAUGCCUACUUCUUACCUUAAUCAAUAAAAUUAGAGCAAUAUGCCACGUCAUAUUAUAAUAAUAAAAAAUCAAAACUAAAAUGAGUAAAAAUAAACCAAAUUAAAGAAACAAAAUUUAUAGACUUUUUAUUAAGAAAAAUUAGAUGUCGGCUUCGUUAUAUAAAAGACGGAUUAGAGUCUAUAUUUUACAAUCAAACGAAAUUAUAUCUCGGUUUGAGUUUUUAUAUAAAAAGAUUAGGGUUUAUUUUUUAUAAAUAAACGUAAUUCUAUUUUGGUUUGGAUUUAUAAAUAAACAUUAGGGUUUAGGUUUCACAAAUAAACAAAAUUAUUUAUCGGUUUGGGUUUAUAAAAGAGAAUUAGGGUUUAGAUAUUACAAUUAAACAAAUUUAAAUGUCUGUUUGAGUUUAUAAAGUAGGAUUAGAGUUUAGAUUUUAUAAUUAAAACGAAAGUCUAUAUCGGUUUGGGUUUAUAAAGGAGGAUUCUAGUUUAGAUUUAACAAUUAAAACGAAAUUAUAUAUCGGUUUGAGUUUAUAAAAAAGUGGUUAGAUUUCAGAUUUUACAACUAAAACAAAAGUGUAUACGAUUGGGGUUUGUAAAAAAGUAGUUAUAUAUAUAUAUAUAGAUUUUAUUUUUAUAAGUUUUUUAUUUUAUUUUUAUAUAAUAUGACGUGGCGCAUAUUACUUUGAUUUUAUUGUUUAAAGGAGUAAAUAUAUAGGUUCACCCCUAGUAUUGCCUAUUACCUAUUUCUUUUGAUUUCGGCUCCUAGGGUUUUUUGCCUCGUGAAGAUGACAAAAAACAAAAAAAUUGAGAUCGUUGAGGAAUUAGUGAAGACAAGAUUAGUGAGUUGCCCCAAGAUUUGCUUGUAAGGAUAUUGAGUCUUGUCCCAAUAAAAUGUUGGAACUACAUUUUGACACAAUGGCUUCUGCCACUUUUCCGGUGACGUCCGUCGUCGGAAUGACCGGAUGUUGGAAUCUUUGAAUUCCUUGUAAUAAGCACUAUAAGUUAGUGUACUUACUUGUCAAAAUUGAAGUUAUAAUGAAUGAGAAAUAGAUCUCCAAAGUGGUUAGAGUAAAAGCAUUUUAUAAAAAAUAUGUGCAUUUGUCCCACAUUGGAAGAUUGGAAAAUUUUCCCACUAGUAUAUAUAGUGCUACACUUAUAUCAAGGUUCACUAGCUAUGGGAAAUGGAGACUAUGGUGCAUGAGAUGAUGGACCGUUAUGCAAAACACACACAUGCGCGCGCGCCGUGCCGAGCCGGGCUGGGCUUGGGCUUGGUCUUGGGUCUUGGCAAAUGGGCCCCAGGGCCCAGUCAAAACUAUUCAAGAAUGUUUCUUUUUGGAAAUUUUUUUUAUGAUUCAUACAUUACAUUUAUGUGGUGAUGUUUCAUAAUAAUUUCCUAAAAAUAAUGUGCAUAAUAAAAUGAAUUCGAAAAUUCGAAAUUGGUUAUGAUGAAGGACAUUCCCUGGUUGUCGAUACUCCGAGAUUAGUGGACUUUCACAUCUAUAGUUUUGUCGCGGCUUGAAAUCUUUAUUUGGAAAGAUUAUGUAGGAACAGAAGGAGAGGAACAAUUCUUGAGAUACGUCUUAGCCAACUCUAAGUGUUUAAAUAUUGCGACAAUCGAUAUGCAAGACACCUUGAAAAGAAAUCAUGAAGAGCGACAUUUGAUGAUGGAGAAGUUGAAAGAUAUUCAUAGGGCUUCAACAACAUCUCAGCUACUGUUCGAAUAUAUUUCAGUCUAUUAAACAACAUCUCAACUCCAGCUAAUGUGGAAGCUUAACCUUUCUAACUCUUGUAAACUUGACUAGUUGAUUUUCAUAUCCUUUUUCGCUUAUUGAAAACAUUAGUUUUGCAAAAAGUAAAUUUUAAUUUUUGAUAGAAGUUCGUUGGAAGAUUGAGCCAUUAAGCUCUAGUAAAAGUACAAAAACCAAAAUUUCUCUUUACUGUUAUGUACAGUAAUUGUGAGUUUUAUUAAUUUUUUGGCAAGGUAGUUAAUUAUUAGGUGUAACUUUUGAUUAGCUUAAUUAUUUUUCUGGAUCGAUUUAUUGAAGACACUAGGUUUUAACCUGCGGUGCACUGCGGAGACGAUUUUUCAAUUUUUUUUUUAUAUUUUGACUUAACCCGUAAAAGAUUUUAAAUAUAGACAAUCCGUAAGAGAAAUAUAAUCAUAUUUAUGUAAACUCAAACCCGUCAAUCAUAUUCAUGUACAAUGUUAUUAUUAUAUAUUUAUUUUUAUUAGAGUUAAAAUAUUAAUAAUUCUUUAAUUUUUAUUUGGAUGCUGAGAAAUCAAAUUUCCUGCUCAUUUUUAGUUGAGAGCAUAUUAGUCAUAUUUAUAAUGAUUUUCAAAUAUAAUCUGAAAAUAUUUUAUCUUAUGUAGACGUUGUACAUACGUUAUUUUCUUUUACCGAAUGAGUAAUAUACAUCCGUUUUCAAAAAUUUUAAUUGCAAAAUAUGCGAAAUUGUUUUGUCUUUUGCAUUAUACAUAUGUUUUAUAUAAUAAAAUAAAUUAAAAAUAAAUAAGAUUAUAUAAAUAUAUUGGAGAGAGAUUCGAUUUAUAAGAGAGAGAUUAGGAAAUUUUUCUGAUAUAAUAAAUAUUUGUUUCAAAUUUUGCUAUUUGCUUGUGAUAUAAUUACAAAAUUUACUUUUAAGUUUUGUUAUCUAUUCAAAUGACAAAGGUUUAUUUAUGUAAAUAUUACAAAAUAAAAAUUUAUAACCCAAAAUAGAUUUUUGUACAAGAUGUAGGUCAAAAAUGUUAAAGAUAGAUAGAUUUUAGUAAAAAAUGUUAAGAUAGAUUUAAGUACCGGUUACGAAUAAGCCUAUUACAUAUUUCUUUGGCUUUUCGGCAACUAGGGUUUUUGCCUCGUGAAGAUGACAGAAGACAAAAAAAUUGCGAUCGUUGAAGAGACAAUUUGUAAAGACAAGAUUAGUGAGUUACCCGAAGAUUUGCUUGUAAGGAUAUUGAGUCUUGUCCCAAUAAAAGACGCAGUGGCUACCAUGUUUCUGUCGAAACGAUGGCUCUCUAUUUGGACAAUGAUACCAACACUUGAGUACAAAGACAACGAUGUUCAAGAUUAUGCUGAUUUCAACGAUGACAAUGUCUAUGACGCUGCCGUAUGGUACAAGGAAAUGAAAAACACCGUUUGGAAUCUUCUUGACAAAUCGAUGCAAUUACACAAGGCACCUGUAAUAGACAGCUUAUGCGUGAAACUCGGUCAAUUAUGUCCUACUGAUGUUGAUGUCGUAAAGUGGGUUGCAAACGCUGUUUCUCGCUGCUUACUUGACCUAGAAUUCGUGCUCUCCUGGUCUGCAGAUCCAACCACCUUGCCUAGUAGCCUUUACUUCUGCGAAUCUCUCGUGAAACUGACUCUUUCUCACAAGAUUCUUGUGGAUGUUCUUUCUCCCGCAUGCCUACCAUCUCUUAGAGAGCUCAGUCUAGACUGUGUGGUGUAUAAAGAUGAGGAUUCUGUUGUAAGGUUAUUAUCGGGCUGCCCGGUUCUAAAGAAUCUAUUCGUGAUUCGGAAAAAGACUGCAGACAAUGUGAAAAAGUUCACUAUAAAUGUUCCUUCUUUAUUGGAAUUAUUUUAUAGUACUAGUUAUGAUGAAGAUGAUGAUGAAGAACAUGCCUUGGUUAUCAAUACUCCGAGAUUAGAGGAAUUUAGCAUCCAUGAUUCUUUCGGAGACUCUAGCUCGAUCGAGAAUAUGCCUUUUCUCAAGUGUGCAUAUAUCAAUCUUGCCUCUUGCACUAAUGAAAAGUUUCUAAGGGCGGGUUAUUGGGAGAAUGACUUUUAAAGAUUUUUAGAGUUUAAGAUUCUAUUGUUAUUGGUGUACGGAUUAUUAGAUUCUUAAUAAAAUCUCUUGUUAUUGGUGUAUGUAUUUUGUAAUUCUAUUUAAAAUCCUUUGUUAUUCAAAAAGUUGAGUAUUUAUUGAUUUUCCAAUUCUAUCAAAUUCUAGUGUUAUUGGUUUAAUGAUUCCUUACCUAUUUAGUCAUUAAAAACAACUUUCAAAAUACUGCAAUUAUCAUAAGGAUUUGUAAAGUCUAUCAUAUGAAGAAUCUAUUAAACUCUAAAAAUCUGGGUAAACAUUAUUUUAUAAUCAACAAAUCUUUUUAAGAAUCUUAAAAUCUCUAAACUUUUGAAAUCCACAAACUCUUUUAAAAUCAAUCUCCCAAUAACUCCCCCUAAGUUCUAUUUCUUGGGUCUCAUCUCUUCAGUUAUUUUUGUCUAAUGAAAUGGUAUUAUAUAGAACUAUCUUUUAAUUAGUAUCCUUCUUAGUUUUUCCUUAUGAGUACUGACGUUGUGUGUUUGUUUAGUCGCAGCUUGUGUGUAAUAGCACUAUCAAAUUCUCUGGACUUUUAAAGUUAAGAAUAUGUCCACGAGAAUCAGAUUGGUUCGAACCACUCAAAUCUUUACUUGAAAACUCACCAAAUCUAAAAGAACUAUGGGUAGAUUUUGUAAGUGUAUAUAUCUUUUCCUCUUCUAGCUUUGUUUUGUGACUUUUAAAACCUAUAUAAAGUACUCAAAAUGUGUUUAAAAUAUCACCAUCGUUGCUUCGCAGGAUUGCGGAGACGCCAAUGACAUUGCAGUUUCAUGGAACCAACCAAUCCGCACUCCAAGAUGCUUGUCUUCGCAGCUCGAAACCUUUAAGUGGAAAGAAUAUGGAGGAACAGAAGGAGAGGAACAGUUCUUGAGAUACGUCUUAGCCAACUCUAAGUGUUUAAAUACCGCGAUAAUCAAUCUGCAAUACAACUUGAAAAGGAAUCGUGAAGAGAAACAUAUGAUGAUGGAGAAGUUGAAACAUCUUCCUAGGGCUUCAACAACAUCUCAGCUAUUGUUCGAAUAUAUUUCGCGUAUUUAAUAAACACAGAACGAAAGCCUAGUUAAUGUUGAAGCUUAACCUUAUAAUAUAAUCUUUUUCAUGCCUUUUGUUUCUUGUUCUUCCUUAUUUGCUUCCUUAAGACAAAAAAAAAAGGUGUCGUUGAAGCAACUAAUAAGUGUAUUAUAGUUUCUUAACAUAGUGUACUCAUAUUGCAGACUUGAUUAGUUAUCCUUUAACCCAUAUAAUUAUGUUAAAGCCUCACAAAACCUUUAACAGAAAGAAAAAAAACUCUGAUAAAUACAUUUAUUGAAACCUUCUGUAUUGAAACCUGAGUUUUAUAAGACUUUCGAUUUAUUUUUUAAUCACUGGUUAUUCAACUUGUGAUUUUUUGUUUAAAUCACUUAUCUAAUCCAGUACUAUUGAAUUUGAACUUUUUAUUAAAUCAUAUUCAAAGUAAUCUGGUGUUUUAUGAUGAGAAACAAAACAGCAAAGUAAGAGAGUAAUGUUCUCUUUGUCUUUGUUAAAACAGAGGAACAAAACAACACAAAUCAAAUAGAUAGUGGCACAACAAAAAGAGUUAGAAGAAACUCCCCAAAGAGAAGAGUCUAGAUCUUGUUUAUAGCCAAAACGUAUAAGCCAACAUGAGAAUACCUAUUCCAUAUAUAACUAGGAAGUGGAUGUAGAGAGGUCACGUGUUCACCAAGGGACCUUUUUUUUUAACUUGGAUUUGCACUUUUCAGCUUAAUUUUAUAAGCUAACCACAUCCAUAUAUAAUUCUUAAAUCCAAAUUUAUUACCCAAUAGAAGAACAAUUAUAUAUAUAUACGAGUAAUAAACUAUACCCAGUCCGAUCUGAAUCCGAAAAAAUUUGAACCAAAAUCCGAACCAAAAAAUUUACAUUUAUCCUAUUAGAUCUUAAAUUUCUCUAUGUGAUACACCCAAACCCGAACGGUUCUUACCUGAAACCGGAUUCAAGUACCGAACACGAGAGCAUACUAUAAAUAUUUUUUUUGCAUACUAUAAAUUAUAAAGUUGUUUGCAUUGGUAGCAGCACGUGAUCAAGAUAUACCACAUGUAGCAUCGACAUAAUCAAAAAUUAAAUACCAAUUAGGACAUCGGGUUAAGUGAUUUAAUCCCGUGAUUACAAAGGUCGACUCCAUUUGUUGCCUGUUCGUCUGUGCAUCCGACACUCGAAUGACAUCAUUACUGGUUUUUAAAAAGUGUAAUCUACAACUAAUAAUAAAGUACGUAUAAAACUUUUUCUCACGUUGAAUGAUACAUUAGUCAAAUAUAUUAAAUUCACAAACACGUGAGAGCCCAAAUAUGUGUGAAUGCAGAAUAUUUCUUUUACACCUUAUAAAAUAUAGAUAUUUUCGUUUACAAAAUACUCUAAUAUUAUAGAUUUUAGGGUUUAUAUUUUAUUGUAGCAUACUAUUUUUUUUUUCUGUCAACAAUAACUAUAGAAUUGGCUUAUAAAAACCAAUUAGAGGAACAAUUGUUCACAUACUAUUUUUAUUUGAUAUAUAUAUAUAUAUAUAAAUUUAUACAAGUUAAUAAGGAAAAACUACACUAUUUAUUUGAAAACUACUAUAUAAUUUGGGAUAUUAUAUGAAUUUUUCCUUUAUUUUGUAAUAUUUCCAAAACAAAUAUUUUGUCCACUCCCAGUUUCUUUCAAUAUCUAACUUAUUUUGGUGUAUUUGUAGAGUUCAAGUUAUAUAGGUUCAAUCAUAUAAAAUACCAAGCACUAAACAAAAUAUUGAAUUUAAAGUCUUAUCUAAAACAUUCUCUAUGGAUACUCAUAAGUCAUAACCAAUCAUACACAUCGAAAUACCCUUAAAUUGGGUAUAGUUUAAGAUAUAUAUAUAUAUAUAUAUAUAUAUAUAUACACGAAUAUGUAUUUAAUGUAAAGUUUAAUCAGGUUUACCACACUUAACUAAUCCAAGAUGCAAGACGCAUAAGUCAAGAUGGUAUCAUCCAAAGAAUAAUGAUAAAAAAUUUACCAAGUGAAAUGCAAGAACUGUGUACAUGACAAGACAUAGUUUAUAACCCAACAUAAAUCUAAAAAAAUAAAGAACAUACAGUUUUGUUUUCUAACAAAACUAACAUUGAAAUACAAAUUGUCCAUUUCAACCAAACAAACAACAAAUUUAUCAUACCAACACAGUUCGAAAUUUCUAUCGACUCUAUAAGACUAUUGGACCAAAAGAUAGGCACUAGUGCAAUAACUCAUACCAAUCAAGACAAAGAGUAUAAGUGGUAAAAUCUAACACAAUAAUCAUCAGUGUACGAUGCAAAAAUUGAGAAUGUGUAAAGUUGAAACCGAUCACUAAGGAUUCAAAGCACAUAACACAGAACAAAUAAGUCGAUUUAAGCAAAAGACUUAGCCUAAUCUGCAACUUGCAGGAGCCUCAGAUACGUUCAUAAUAAAUACUUAUACAUGACACUCAUACAUGCAUCCAUUUCAUAGAAGAAGAGAUCUUAUGAUACAUAAAACAAGAGAGCUUAUGGUAGAUAAUCAAGAAAUAUCCAAUUCAUAUUUCUGUGUAAUUACACCAGUGCGAUUCAAUAGAGUCCCAAACUCCAUCGAUUUUGUAAGACUAACUAAGAGACCAAAGGAUAGACAACUAGUGCAAUACCAGAGAUAUUCGAAUCGUUAUAUUGUAAGAACAUCAAGCCAACAAGUACAAGUGGUACAAUCUAACACAAUAAUCAUUAGUGUAUAAUGCAAAACUCGUGAUUGGCACUUCAAAUGUUUGAACUGAUCACCAAGUAUUCAGAGCAUUUAACACAAAACAAAUCCAUUCAUGAUUCAAGUAAAAAAGUACCACAACCUGCAUGAGUCUCUCAGCUACAUUCAAAAUAAAUAUGUACAUACUUGUCCAUUUAAUAAAACAAGAGACCUUACGAUAUUUUCAGUUAGUGUAUAGUAACGACUCUAGCCAAGGGGUACAAUUUAUAAAUCUAGCAUAGUAAUCAUCAAUUGAUAAUACAUAACUUCAAAAUGUGGUUUCGCAUGCUUAGACAAUCACCAAGGCUUUAGAGCAUAAUGUAUAACAAAUACAUUCGAGAUUCAACAAUACUAUUACCAUAAUGUGCAUAACUGUCACAUACAUUUAAAAGAACAUAUCUACAAACAAACACCGAAACAGAGAUAGUAAGUAUAUUAAACACACAAUGUAAUGUUCCAUUACCAAAGUAAAAACUACAUUUUCUCAGUGUAUGAUGCAUAACUCUAGGAUGUCAUUCACAUGUUUUAAAAAUCACCCAAGGUUCAGAGUAUAACGUUAAACAAAUACUUUCAAGAUUCAAGUCAACUACAAAAGCACCAAAACAGAGAGAAUAAAAAAAAACUUACAACACAUUGCACAUUCUAACUAAAUAGACUAUUGAUUCAAUUGAGUUCCAAACUCCAUCGAUUUUGUAAGAAUAAGAGACCAAAGGAUAGAACUAGUGAAUAAAAGAGACACUCCAAUCAAUGUAUUGUAAAAUUCAAGCCAACAAAUAGAAGUGGUAAAAUCUAACACAUUAAUCAUCAAUGUAUAAUGCAAAGUUUGAGAAUGUCAAUUCACAUGUUUGAUCUGAGCAUAACACAAAACAAGUUCAUUCAUGAUUCAAGUAAACUACAGUAGGAGUCUCACCUAUGUUGGAACUGAGCAUAACACAAAACAAGUCUCAGCUAUGUUCAAAAUAAAUAUGUACAAGAGACUUGUACAUGCAUCCAUUUUAUAAAACAAGAGACCUUAUGAUAUUUUCAGUUUGUAUAGUAAAGACUCAAGAAAAGGGGUACAAGAAAUAUCCAUUGCAUAUUAAACGAAAUACACCAGUGACAGUGAUUUAAUAGAAUUUCAAGUAGAUAUACCAGUGCAAUAACAUAUAAGACUAAGGGACCAAAGGAGAUACACUAGUACAAUAACAUAUACAUAUACAUUUCAAUCACUAUAUUGUUAGAAAAUCAAGGCAGAGAGUACAAGUAGUCAGAUUUUUGAUGCAAAAACUGAGAAUGUCACUUCACGUGUCUGAACCAAUCACCAAGGAUUCAAAGCAUAACACAAAACAAAUCCAUUCAUGGAUUAAGCAAAUACUAGCAUAAAUAUAUACGUAAUACGUACAUGAGAUUCAUACAUGCAUCCAUUUCAUUAAAAAGAGACCUUAUGAUAAAUAAUAAAGAAAUAUUCAUUGCAUAUUCUAACUAAAUAGACCAGUGAUUCAAUUAGGUUCCAAGCUCCAUGGAUUUUGUAAGCUAAGAGAUCAAAACAUAGGCACUAGUGCAAUAAAAGAGAUACUCCAAUCAUUGAAUUAUAAAGUUCAAGCCAACAACUACAAGUGGUACUAAUCAUCUGUAUAAUGCAAAAUAUGAGAAUGUCACUUCACAUGUUUGAACUAAACACAACACAAAACAAGUCUAUUCAUGACUGAAGUAAAAUACCACCAUAAUCUGGAGGAGUCUCAGCUAAGUUCAAAAUAAACGUGUACAAAAGACUCGUACAUGCAUCAAUUUUAUAAACAUGAAAUUUCAGUUAGUGUAUAGUAAAGACUCAAGACAAGGGAUACAAUAAUGUAGAAUAUAACACAGCAAUCCAAAAUGUGGUUUCAACAAUUAUAUAGUUGAUAAUGCAGAAUUCUAAAAUGUGGUUUCACAUGCUCAGAAGAAUCACCAACGGUUUAGAGCAUAACACAAAGCAAAUACAUUUGAGAUUCAAUAAUAUUAUUACCACAAUGUGCAAUAGUAUCAUAUACAUUUAAAGGAAGUAUCUACAUGAGACCAAUACAAAGAUAAUGAGUAUUUUUAAUACACAAUGUAACGUUCCAGUAGCCAAAGUAAAUUCUACUCAUGUGUAUGAUGCAAAAUUCAUUCAAGGAAGCUACAAUCAUAAUCUAUAGAAAUUGACUAAUCAUAAUCAUAAUAAGAUUCCACAGUUGACUAAUAAUCCUAAGAAAGAAUGCAUCCAUUAUAUAGAAUAAGAGACAUGAUGAUGCAUAAGCACUAAAACAGAGAGAAUAAAAACUUAUCACAAACUGUAAUGUUCGAGAUAAGCAUAUAUAUUACCUGGUCAUAAACUCUACUAAACGUAGAAUAUCAACAUCUUUUGAAGUACUUACCAGAAAAAAUCAAAAUAGUCUAUAAAUCAUGUAUGUGUCUCUCACUUAUGAUUUUCAAAACUGUAUCAACUUAAAACUAAGAGGUUUGAAAAGCAUAUACCUGUCAAAGAAGUCUGUUAUACACUUGAAAUCUACUCAAAAUCUCCACAGCCUGAGCACCUUCGGAAGCACAUACCUGAAAAAAAAAACAGAAUUUGUUAGUUUUCGUUUUAAGUGAAUGUCAUAUACUUACCUCAUUCGUUUAUAUUAUGUAGUACCAAGUUUAAUCUCGCUGCAUAUUCUUUUUCAAGUAUCUUGUUCUUUCAACUUUUAUAAGUCGUUGGGCUAAACUUUUUCAAGUCUUUGGUCUAAAAGUUCUCAGCUCAAUGUCUUGUUUUGAGACUUCUUUAAUCUGCUCGUUUUUACCAUCCAACAACUCUCAUUCUUCCUUAAUCCGUUGGUCGUUUUUACCAUCCAACAAAUCACAUUCUCGUUUUGAGACUUCUUUAAUCUGCUGGUCGUUUUUACCAUCCAACAAAUCACAUUCUUCCUUAAUCUGCUGCUCUCAUUCUUCCUUAAUCUGUUGGUCGUUUUUACCAUCCAACAACACUCUCAUUCUUCCUUAAUCUGCUGGUCGUUUUUACCAUCCAACAACUCUCUUUCUUCCUUAAUCUGUUGGUCGUUUUUACCAUCCAACAAAUCACAUCCUUGUAUUAAGACUUCCUUAAUCUGUUGGUCGUUUUUACCAUCCAACAACUAUCAUUCUUCCUUAAUCUGCUGGUCGUUUUUACCAUCCAACAACUCUCAUUCUCGUUUUGAGACUUCUCUAAUCUGUUGGUCAUUUUUACCAUCCAACAAAUCACAUUCUCGUUUUGAGACUUCUUUAAUCUACCAUCCAACAAAUCACAUUCUCGUUUUGAGACUUCUUUAAUCUGGCUGGUCGUUUUUACCAUCCAACAAAUCACAUUCUUGUACUAAAGCUUCUUUCGUAUGUUGGUCGUUUUUACCAUCCAACAACUCACAACUGAUCUCCUUACAUGCAUGCACUACCCAUCCAAAUAGAUCUGACUUAGUGAGAACUCUUUGGUUCUUUUAUGUCUUAAUAUCAAAGUCUUUUAGACUCUUUAUCUUAUGAUUGGGGCAAGCCGAGGGUACCAAGAGAACACUUUGGUUCUUUUAUGUCUUAAUAUUUAAAGUCUUUUAGACUCUUUAUCUCAUGAUUGGAGCAAGCCGAGGGUACCAAGAGAACUCUUUAGUUCUUUCAUGCCUUUGUCUUAAUAUUCAAAGUCUUUUAGACUCUUUAUCUCAUGAUUGGAGCAAGCCGAGGGUACCAAGAGAACUCUUUGGUUCUUUUAUGUCUUAAUAUCAAAGUCUUUUGACUCUUAUGAUCCGAGCAAGCCGAGGGUACCAAACUGAACUCUUUGGUUCUGUCAUGCCUUUGUCUUAAUAUUCAAAGUCUUUUAGACUCUUUAUCUCAUGAUUGGAGCAAGCCGAGGGUACCAAGAGAACUCUUUGGUUCUUUUAUGUCUUAAUAUCAAAGUCUUUUGUCUCUUAUGAUCCGAGCAAGCCGAGGGUACCAAACUGAACUCUUUGGUUCUGUCAUGCCUUUGUCUUAAUAUUCAAAGUCUUUUAUACUCUUUAUCUCAUGACUGGAGCAAGCCGAGGGUACCAAGAGAACUCUUUGGUUCUUUUAUGUCUUAAUAUUUAAAGUCUUUUAGACUCUUUAUCUCAUGAUUGGAGCANNNNNNNNNNNNNNNNNNNNNNNNNNNNNNNNNNNNNNNNNNNNNNNNNNNNNNNNNNNNNNNNNNNNNNNNNNNNNNNNNNNNNNNNNNNNNNNNNNNNGUUCUUUCAUGCCUUUGUCUUAAUAUUCAAAGUCUUUUAGACUCUUUAUCUCAUGAUUGGAGCAAGCCGAGGGUACCAAGAGAACUCUUUGGUUCUUUUAUGUCUUAAUAUCAAAGUCUUUUGACUCUUAUGAUUCGAGCAAGCCGAGGGUACCAAACUGAACUCUUUGGUUCUUUCAUGUCUCUUCAUAUCCAAAGUCUUUUGACCUUUUCAUCUUAUGAGUUUCCCAAGCCGAGGGUACCAAAACUUUGAGUACACUUUUGUUAUAUUCAGUCUUUGUCUUAAGACUUCUUAAAAUCCCUUUUCCAACUCCCAACAUGCACUCCCAUCUAUAGUUUACAAUUCUGCUCGGGACAAUGUCCCCAAAAUUGAAUCCGACAGAACACUAUUAGAUUAGUGUCUGCUUAUGAUCUUUUUUGGGUUUUAAAAGAAAACACAAACAAAAACAAAAACAUCAAAAACAAAUAAAGUAGAUUUGAGAAGUAACAAUGGAGGACAAGUGAGUGAAAUAUUCUCUGGAAGUGGAUGUUGGUGAAGGAGGAGAAACAGAGUUUGGCAUUAAAGACGGACAAGAGCGACAGAGGUUGAGUGUGGUGAAGAAAGAGGACCAGAUUUCUGUUGAUAAUCGACGGACAAGAGCAACAGAGGUUAGUCCAUAAUUAAAUGUUGGUUCAAUAAUAGUAACAAACAUUAAAUAGGCCGGUAAAACCUCGGAUGUGGCAUUUAGUAGUGGCGCAGUGGUGGGAAUUUAAGGUUGUUGGUGGUUGAAAUAAAUGUUAACCUUUGAUGUCCAGCAGGAAGAUGGUUCGGGAGAUGGACAAGACGGUUUGUGUUCUAGAAGGAAGAUGGACGUAUUCUACUACAGGUGCGUGGAAGUUUAAAGUCCGUAGUGGACAAAUGGGAAGAUGUAUGUCCAUCAAGAAAGAUACAAGAUUUGAAGGGUUGAAAAGUUUGGUAGCAGAUGUUUUGGGUGUGAAGUCAGCUGAGCAUCGAUUGGCUUUAAGCUUCUGGUAUCCAGCGGAAACAACUGCCUUCACGCAAGUAAAGAUGCCUCCUAUCUCAAUAACAAAUGAAGUGGAAUUGGGGUUGUUUAAGAUGAAGCAUCGAGAGUACGGUGGACUUUAUUUGUACGCAACUCUGAUGGGAGAAGGUGAAGAAGGGAUAUUGGCUACCAACCCAAUGGGAGAAGGUGACGAAGGAAGGUCUCAAGAAGGAAUAGAUGGGCAGCACGAUCAACAUAUAGCUAAUCCAGAUGGUGGACAUUUGGCAAUGGGGGGAGCAUGUGGUGGACAUUUGGGAAUUGCAGAAGCAGACAAUAUAAUGUCCAGCAAAGAUGAUGUAGAUGAGCAGAUGUGUACUCUAGAAGAUGAAGUUUUGUUGGAUCAUCUAGCCACCGUGGAGGCCAUUCACAAGGCACAAACUGACGUUGGCGAAAGGGGUAAGGAACAUAAAAGAAUAAGAGAGGAGGAGGUGGAGGAACAAGAUGCAGUGGACAUGUUGGGGGACCUAUUUGAUGAAGCGAAUGAUCCAUCAAGACAAACAUCUCUUGGUUCGGGAGAGGAAUCAGAUUAUGAUUUUGACGAGUGGACAGACCGGAUAAACAAAGAAUACCCGCCUGAUUGGGAUCCUUAUGUUAAUAUGGCAGUUUUCAACAGUGACGAAUGUCCUCUGUCCACGUACAUGCACUUGCUGAAGACAACAAAUCCAGGAACAAUAACGGACAUGCACACCUCGAUGGACAAAGAUGCGAAUGUACUUUUCAAGUAUAUGUUCUUCGCUUUCGGUGCAUCGAUAUCUGGAUAUAAAUAUCUACGGAAGGUGAUAGUAAUUGAUGGGACGGCCAUGAAGGGGAAGUACAAAGGGUGUCUAGUUGCUGCUAGUGGACAAGAUGGAAAUAUGCAAAUCUAUCCAUUAGCUUUUGGGGUGGUAGAUGGAGAGAACACAGAUGGGUGGGUGUGGUUCUUCAAGAACCUGAAAAAAUUUGUCCCCGACGAAGAAGAUCUUGUCUUUGUGUCUGAUAGACACGCAUCCAUCUAUGCUGGUCUACGGGAAGUUUAUCCUAUAGCACACCAUGGAUCGUGUACUGUGCAUCUUUUCAGGAAUGUGAAGCAUAAUUUCGGGUGUGCUGGCUUGGCAGCAGUUGUUAGCAAGGCGGCAAGGGCGUAUACGGUAGGAGAUUUCCGUGUAUGGUGGGCUGAAAUAGAGGAACGUGAACCAGAGUGUGCGACUUAUCUUAAGGAAAUAGGAUUACCACAUUGGACAUUAUCUCAUUUUCCAGGCGAGUUACAACCUGAUGAGUAGCAAUAUAUCAGAGGCUUUGAAUGCGGCAAUGCAAAAAGCGAUAGAUUAUCCGAUUGUCUCGAUGGUCGAAUUCAUACGGGCAAUGUUGAUGAGGUGGUUUCACUUAAGGAGGAUAAAAGCAGCAAAAACGAGAACUAGAUGUACACCAGAAAUUGAGGCAAUUCUAAUAGACCAUUUGAAGGAUGCCGUAAACUGUGCAGUGUUGUCCGCAAGUGAUUGGGUAUACCAAGUAAACGAUGCUGCAGGGUGUGGUUUCAUCGUGGACCUCGAGAAUAAAACAUGCACUUGCCGCGUUUUUGAUGUAUUGAAGGUACCUUGCUGUCACGCAUUAGCUGCUAGGGGAGUGAGACAGCUAGAUAUAUACAGCUUUGUGGAUCUGAGUUACUUUGUGGAGCCAUGGCGAAAAAAGUAUGAGAAACUCAUUAUGCCGGUGCCUAAGGAGAAGGAUACGGACAUCCCAGCUGUAGUUCAAGAAGUACCUAUUAAUCCGCCUAAGGAAAAACGCGGUGGGGGUAGACCAAAGAAGAGAAGAAUCCCGUCACAAGGGGAGAAACGUCGGGUAAGUAUAAAUGAUUGUGUGGACUAUAACUAGAUUGCGGUGUAUGCUUGGGAUGCUUCUAAUCCACUUUUGGUUACGUCUGUCAAUAAGGUGAGGAAAAGGACAACUCCAUCCAGAUGUGGAAGGUGUAAUGGGGUGGGACACAAUAGGAAGACUUGUUCCAACCUUAUAUGAAGUAGACAAUUUUUCUGCAGGUUCAACGUGUGAUGGCAGACAAAUUAUCUAGUUUUUAGAGGUUUUUGGAUAUUUUGCAGGUUUUUGGAGGAUGAUGGUUUAAUGAUGGUAUAAUUUUUUGUACAAUUCAGAAGGUCUGAUCUGUGGACUAUAAUCGGGGUGUAAUGUCUGUUAUCUAAUUUUGGAUUUGUAAAAUGUGAUUAGUGGACCAGAAUUGGGAAUUUAACUGGUCCACCACAUAUAAUCGGGGUAUGUAUUUUGCGGAGUCUUGUAGAAGUGUUUUGGUCCACAAGUGUAAGGAGUUUGUCGUUUAUGAACAAGCAUUAAACUUGCGGUUGUGUGAUUGUUGUGGCAGUAGUGGGGAAAAAAUACACGUGCGUUGGAUAAUUAGUAUUAGUUAAUCGUAGACAUACUAUAGUUCAAUGGACAAAUCCUCUACGUGGACAUACAUAGAUUGCACUACAUACUACGCUCCAUACUUUCCCAAAGCCAUCCUGAGAGAGACAAUACAGUAUACGUGUGCCCUCAAAUGAGAGGGAAUGAUAAAAAUGUGUGUAAUGGGGAGAUAUAUUUGCACUGACCUGUAAAUUUGGAUGGUCCAGAACUCUUAACUGUUGAAGCGGAAUCUGCAUCACGUUCAAUAUAUAUAUAAGCAAACAACAAUUUACUGCAAGUACAAGACACAUGUCAAGAAGAUCCUUUCUAAGUUAAAUUGGAUUUACCUUGAGCACUGCACACGCCUGAUGCAGCUCAUCUUUCCGAAUGUUUCCCAUACCAUCAGCGUUACCUGCAGCAUAAAAUAAUUCAUCUAGUGUUCAAAAUGAAUUCCAAACUGCAUCUUAGUAAGCAUCCCACUAAGAAAAAUCCACAGUUCGACAACUUUCAAAAGGAAACUAAUACAACAACCAGAAAAAAGUAUGAAAAAGGCAUAUUACCAGUAGACAAGCAUAAUAUGUGAAGAUUGUAUGCAUUGGAAGUGAGGUAGUUUAUCGCUGGAGAAAAGAACCUGUCAAAGACUCAUCUCUCAGCAAAACAAUCUUUGACAAAUCGAUCAAUCAAUAUCCGGAGAGACGCAUUAUCAAAAAUAUCUAACAUUGACUCAUCAUCAGGAUGUGCAAAAACGAACAUAACAUUUUUCUUGUCAGGGGUAUUACUACCUGAAAUCAAGUACAAUAAGAUAAAUCAAAAUUCUGAAAAGAAACAAGUCUUAACCGGUAAAAAAAAUUGUCUUUCCGGCUACUUGCCAUCACCGAUAAUAGCAGCUUUGGAGUUAGAUGUUCCUCCGAAGAAAAUUUUGCAUAAAGAAGCCACCCAGAUAACAAUCAGAGAAAGAGAUACCACAAGCCAUGCCAUCUGAAGAUUUUGAGCAGAUCAGAGACUUUUUCAAUUUAAAGAAUGAACAGAGCCGUGAAGAGAAGAACACUUCCGUCGAUGACUAUGAUCUUUUAUUCUCCGGUACUAAUGCUCUGAGUUCUCUGCCACCGAUGAUCAUCAGUAGGGAUCCGAACCUUUCCCGGCCACGGCUGGGUUUUUUUUUUCCGAUUUCACUUUUUUUUUGUGUACCUGUUUCCGUUUUGUAAAGCCCAUGGGCUUUUUAUGGGUUUUGGCCCUCUUAAUAUGUUUUUGAGAUUGGUGAUUGCGUUUAAGUGCCAAAGCCAGAUUCUUGUAAAAGAGAAAAUGAUGAGUUCGUCACGAGUAGUUAAAGCUAAAACUAUACUUUACGAUAUCUCUAAUUGUAUCAAUUAGGAAGGGAUUAUUAUUGUCUAUACCACAUUUAGAUAGGAAAAAAUCAGAAAUGCCAGUUUCGAUUGUGGCUUAUUAGGAGUGCCACAUUGGAUGAAAAGGGGAGGGACAAAUUGACAAAACUACCCCCUGGGCAGAGAGAGUGUGAUUUCGCGGGUUGCUUCAAAAAUAGAGACCGAUGGGACAACGUUCGGCAGAAAAGAGAGCAUUAAAUGAAGAGGGUGGCAUCUAUUAUCCAGAGGACAACGAUUAACAAAUAAAAACUUUGGAUUCAUUUUAAACAAAUGUUCUGAAUCAAGAAAAAAAAACUCUUAAUUCCAAAAUCACAAUGACACAUGAAUAAAUUGCUUAAAGUAAAGAAACAAUAAAUCUAAUCAGAGAUGGAUUGAUCAAUUGUAAAAAAACCGAAAACACAAAAACAAAAACAAAUCCAAAACCAAAACCAAUACCAAGAACGAAAACAAAACAGUAAAGAUAGAAAUAUACCUCAAUGAAGCGGAGACAAACGUCUAGGGUUAGAUUCGAAACAUAAUCCCUAAAACAAAAGUUAAAAACAAGACAAUUAGUAAAUCUGAAAACCCUAAAAAAUUCACCAAAUAGAAAUCAGAGAAAGACAUCUAACCAAAGCCCACGAGACAGAAGAAACCUAACCGUCUAUUGAAAUAGUUUCUUGCCGAAUCAACAACCAAACAAAAUAUAAACCCUAGAUCUAUACAACAUACGAACGAUUAGUAAAUCUAGAAACCCUAAAAAAACAGAGGAUCGGAGAAAGAAACCUUAUCAAUCACCACGACGAGUAAGAAGAAACCCAACCGCCGAUUAAUAUAUUUUGUGUCCGAAUCAAACCAAACAGAACAAAAACCCUAGAUCUGUCCAAAAUAAGAAUUAAGAACGAUUAGAAAUCUUGAGACCCUAACAAAAACACAAAGAGGAUCGGAUCAGAUCAGAGGAAGAAACCUAACCAAAUCACCACGAGAGAGAAGAAGCCUCAGCCGAUUGAACCAGUUUCGUACCCGAAUCGGACCAAAAUCAAAACCCUAGAACAAUACAAACACAUGUAAGAACGAUUACACAAAUCAAAACGUAUAUAAUACAGAGAAAUUAAAAUUGAACGACAUACCAAUCUUCUUGAUUUCUUCAUCUCACUCUCCUCACCAUCUUCGUCAAACCAGAAGAGAGAAAAAAAUAAAUUUGAGGAAAAAAAGAAUAUGUGAAAAUAUUUACUGAUACAAACCGAAACUGAAGAUGAGUGGGCCUUAGUGGGUCUUUGACUUAGGCUUAGUGUUUAAGCCCAAUUUUCUCUAUAUUGUCUUCUAUUUAAACUCUUCUUCUUCUUUGUAAUGGGUUAUCGAAAAGAUCAACAAACAACAUUAUCUUCUUCUCUGUUAGUCACGAUGCUAACUUAUUCUUCUUGUUAAGUCACAGGCUUAACACUUCUCUUCUCAUCUAAACUCUGAUCUUCUGAUUUCUCAUCUCUUUCUUCUACUUCUCAUCUAAUUUCUAUUAAUUUCUUGAUAGAACAAAACCUGGUUCUAUCAUUUACUCUGAUAAUAAUAUAUAUAUUGUUGCGUUUCAUAGGCGCGUCUCCGUAACGGCUAAUUGUUGUUAUACAUGAUCUGACCGUUGAUUCGUCAGAUGCUUUCAUCGAAUGGUUCUGUAUUCUCCCGAUUAAAAAUAAAGUGAAAGAGCAAAGAACAAAAAAAAACCAAACGGAUCUUGUGGGCUUAGAUGGGUUUUCAGCCCAAUAAGAUCAAUUAGUUUAAAAUUCAAAAUUUGAAACUCUUUUGUUUUUGUAUAUAUCUGUAACGGGUAAUUAUAUACAUGAUCUGUACCGUUGAUUUGUCAGAUGCUUAUAUCGAACUGUUCUGUAUUUUUCAUAGCGUUGCGUUUCUCUAACGGAUAAUUAUUAUUAUACAUGAUCCGAUGUUGAUUCGUCAGAUGCAAUCGAACGGUUCCAUAUUUUAAUUAUUAAAAGUCGUUUUUUUUUAAUUUGAAAAAUAUAAACAAACGCAAAAGCAAAGGAGAAUAUAAGAUUUUGGACGGGCCUUCUAGAUUAGAUGGGUUUCAUAUUCUAAGCCUAAUAAUCAAUACAAAAUUAACUUUCUGUUGUUGUUUUCUUUCGAUCUCUUGGGUGAAGACUCUUGUUGUUUAAUUUUGCAAAUCUAUUAUUGUUUGCCUAAGAUUUGGCUAAAACUCUUGUUGUUUGCAAUUUUGUGGUUGUGAUUCAAAUGCAGGAGUUUUACAUAUGGGCCUCAUAAAGAGUUUUAAACUCGUAAGUAAGCCCUAUGCAUAUUAUAUUACUAUGAAUCGUUAUUUUUUUUCUUUGCCUCACCGGUGGAAAACAACACAAGUCGUACGAUAUGUUUGCUUCGACCGUACGUGAUCGAUCGUUGGCUCCUUGCUUUCACGUGUCUCUGGCAGAGCAGCAGUUGAAAACUUGAAACUAUUAAAAUCAAUCUUGUUCAUAAGAAAAAAAAAUUGGAUGCGAACACAUACAAAAAAAUUAAGUAAAAGAUCACGUCGCAAGGAUUUUAUGGGUAGUUUAAAAAAAAAAGUUUUUAAAAAAAUCAAGUGUUUUUUCCUUCUUUUGAAUAAUUGAGAGGGUUUGAAUAAAUUUUUCAAAAACAUUAAGUAUUAUUUACAUUCAGUUUCGAAACUAAAACAUGUUAUAAGAUUUCGUUUUAAAAACCACUCAAAUCGCGAUUUUUAAUUAAUCUUUUGUUUGAAAUCUUUACUAGCACUUUAUAGAUUCAUUUGGCGGAAGGAGAAGAGAGGAAAUGUAACUUUAUAUAUAUAGACUAGCAGUUGACCCGCGCUGCGCGCAGGAGGUUUAUAAUUUUUUUGUUAAUUUUUUAUUCAUAUUGUGAUAUUUUAUUUAUUUUUUAAUUGAUUUUCAAAACAUAUUAUAGUUAUUUUCUCUUGAAUUAUUAUCUUUCCAUAUUUAAAUUUGGAUUAAAAGCAUUUUCUUAUUGAUCAUGUUAUAAACUAAUAUUUCACUUUCAAUUUUAUUAAUCUUUUGUUUGAAAUCUUUACUAGCACUUUAUAGAUUCAUUUGGCGGAAGGAGAAGAGAGGAAAUGUAACNNNNNNNNNNNNNNNNNNNNNNNNNNNNNNNNNNNNNNNNNNNNNNNNNNNNNNNNNNNNNNNNNNNNNNNNNNNNNNNNNNNNNNNNNNNNNNNNNNNNAAUUAAAUAAGUAGCAUAAAUAUGCACUAAAUGAAUGUUUUAAAUUUAUUUUAAUGUUUAAACAAAAAUGUGGCUUAGGUGGAUGCUUAGGUGGCAUCAUGAGAAGAGAGAAAAAGCUAACUUUAUAUAUAUAGAUUAUUUACAUAAUUUAUUUUUAUUUAUAUAAAUUUUCUAUUAAUUAAAUAAGUAGCAUAAAUAUGCACUAAAUGAAUGUUUUAAAUUAUUUUAAUGUAAAAAAAAAUGUGGCUUAGGUGGAUGCUUAGGUGGAAGAGAGAAAAAGCUAACUUUAUAUAUAUAGAUAUCAACUAUAAGAAACUAUGAAGCUAGAUGACUAAUUAAGUUUAAGAAACUUAUGAUUCUAAAUAUAUAAACCAUAAUUAUUUUUAGUAUUAGAGUUUGUAAAUAUUAUCCAGAAUAUAAUAUAACUAGCAAUUCGUAAUUUUUUUUUUGGUAUUUAUCACAAAUUAUUUUAUUAAAUUAUUAUUUAAGAAAAUCAACUAAAAAAGGUCAAACCCCCUAGAAAUUCCUAAUCCUAAUCAAACUAGUAUAAUACAUAUUUUAUCAAUUAUGUGCUGCAUAUUUAUAGAACAUGUAAUACGAUGAAUCAAAAUAAACGCUACUGAGGAAAUAAUAACCAAAAGAAGAAGAAAGAGAUUUUCACAAAGUCUUUUACGUACGCUGUCUUAGGGUUUUGUCUCUGUGAAGAUGCCAGAAACUGUCGGAAAUUGUGGUGAGAGAAUUGAAGAGAUAGGUUGUGAAGAAGACAUGAUCAGUGCUUUACCCGACGAUUUACUUCUGAGCAUUCUGAUACGUCUCCCGAUUAAAGAUGCAGUAGCCACAAUGUUUUUGUCUAAACGAUGGCUUUAUACAUGGACGAUGAUGCAUGCACUUGACUACGAAGAAAACAAUGAUGAUGAGAGCAAGAAGAGCGUUUGGUUUUUUCUUGAAAAGUCAUUGCAACUCAACAAAGCACCAGUCUUACAAUUGUUUUCAAUAGAACUCGGUCCACGAUGUCCGAGUGAUGCUGAUGUCGGAAAGUAUGUAGCAAAGGCUGUUGAUCGCGGCGUGAUUGUUCUAAACCUUUGUCUUCUCUUGUCAGGAGAGCCAACUAGCUUGCCCAUGACACUUUACUCUUGUGUGUCUCUCAAGGUACUGACUCUCUGCGACAAGAUUCUCGUGGAUGUUCCCUCCACGGCCUGCCUCCCAUUACUUGAAAUUCUCAACCUAAGCCUAGUGGUUUAUAAAAAUGAGGAUUCUCUCAUUAGGUUGUUAUCAAGCUGCCCUGUUCUCAUGAAUCUGUUGGUGAACCGGAACAAAGUUGACAAUGUGAGAAAGUUCACUGUGAAAGUUCCUUCUUUGUUGGAGUUGAUUUAUACUAACAACUACCCAUCUCGCGAUGAUAGUAGUACUGCAGGCGGGUGCUUGGUUGUUGAUACUCCUGUAUUAAACGAGUUUUAUUACACUGAUUAUUCAGGAGACUCUUGCUUCAUUGAGAAUGCGCCUUGUUUCGACGAAGUUAGUAUUGAUUUUGAUAAUGUUAUUCAGUCUUUCCCUGACAUCGACAAGUUCUUAAAGUCUUUUUCAAGACUCUUGUUUCUUGAGCUGGCCCUGACCGACGCAAUGGUAACUCUAUCUCUCACUUUCUCCCGUUUGUGAUCACAUAUUUUUUGCAUCUACUUAUGAUUGAUUUGUUCACCAUUGCAUGCAGAUGAUGUCUUGGAGAACAAUCAAAUUUUCUCGACUGAGAAAGUGUAAGAUACAUCCGUAUGCCUCAGACUGGAUGGAUUCACUUUUGUGUUUCCUUCACAAUACUCCGAAACUAACGUCUCUUAUAGUUUGUUAUGUACGUGUACGUAUCCUCCAAACUAAGUAAUAUAAGCCAAGUUGAAUGUGUCGUUAUGACUAACUAAUUAGCAAUUGUUGUGUCUCAGAAUUUAACCGAUGAACCGCGCAAUGCAUCUACUUCGUGGAGCGAAUCGAGAUCUGAUCCGGAAUGCUUGUCAUCAGUGUUGAAGUAUCUUAGGUUGAGAAACUAUACGGGAAGAGAAGAAGAGAAAGAAUUGGUGGAAUACAUCCUAAGUACUUCUAAAUGUUUGAAAACCGCAACAAUCUCCUUUAGAUCAUUGCCAAAGUUCGAACUUGAAGACAAAGCCACAAUGAUGGAGGAGUUGAAAGCUAUUCCUAGGGUUUCAAAAACAUCUCAGCUUUUGUUCAAAACCUAGACAUAAAUACAUGUCUUACAAAUUUAUGGAGAUGCAACUCUCAAAUUAACCAAUAAAGCUUGACAAGAUUGAAUAUCUCAUCAGGGUCGUUGUUUUACAUUUUUUUCUUCUAAACAGAAAUUUUGGUUCAUUUUAAUUACUUGGGAUGUAAGUUAAGCAUUCUACAUUUUUUUUUUUUAAUAUUCUGUUUUUUAUAUACUCCAAAGUUGGUUUUUUAAUUUCUUAAGUGAAGCAAAUGCAUAAUUGUGCUUGGUCAUCCUAAUAUUUCUCAUUGUUAGUUUAUUAUAUUUCUUAAUCUGUGGACAGAGAACAAAAAGUGAAUCUCCAUAUAAAUGCUUUGUUAGUGCUAAUGUUGUUACUUGGAGAACUUAUGAAGUAAAAUAUGGUUUCAACUUUCAAGUCUGAUUCAACAUUAAAUCAAUAAAUCUGUUAAUUUAAAAAAAAUUCAUAAAAACAUUCGAAUUUGCCAACAGCCAUCGAUCUUAAAAUUUCAUUGCACCGUCGCUCCAUAGUUAAAUUAGUUAUCACUUGCUAAACACGUGUCACGACACCAACACGUGUCAAAUUCGUACCACCAGCUGUCCUAAAAUGGUUUCUAUAAGUUAGCAACAUAAGAUAAUAUUAAGAAGAGAGAAUACAGAUUGAAAGAAAAAUAUUCAGACAACAACAUUCGAUAAAGCUAAAGUACUACGAAGAAGAAGAAGAAGAAAUUGUUUCUUUCGAUUGAUGAACAUGGCGGCUAUGCAACUAACGAGAACUGCUUUUUUCGGUCUCUCAAAGGCUUUCCCUAUAAGCCGAACUCCGAGAACUCUUGCGGUGGUGAUUGGUCGGAAAACAUCUCAUGUCUUUUUCGCCUCGUCGGUUAACCAUUCUAAGGUAAUUAACUAGUUCAUUAAUCCUAAAUCCUAAGUGGGCUUAUUGUUUCAAGAAGUUGGUAUAGUUAAGUUACCGUGGUUAACAAGAUAUUAGCUGAAGUUACGAAUUGUUAAGGUUGAUUAAUGCUUUAUUUGUUUGGGUUUCCAGGGUAGAUAUGAUCCGGUUGAGAAAGCAAGAGACUCGAGAGCUGAUUUGGCGUAUGAGUCAAAGAAAUGGAGAGAAGAAUCAGGAGAAUACGCUGAAGCUGGUAAGGACAAAGCUAAUGAUAUGAACGGGAAGACGAGAGAUUAUGCAGAACAAACGAAGGAUAAAGUGAACCAAGGUGCGAGCAGAGCAGCUGAUAAAGCCUACGAGACGAAGGAGAAAGCUAAGGAUAAAGCUUAUGAUAUGAAAGAAAAGAGUAAAGAUUAUGCGGAAGAGACUAAAGAUAGAGUGAAUGAAGGAGCGAGUAGAGCAGCUGAUAAAGCCUACGAGACGAAGGAGAAAGCUAAGAACAAAGCUUAUGAUAUGAAAGAAAAGACUAAAGAUUACGCGGAAGAGGCUAAGGAUAAAGUAAAUGAAGGAGCGAGUAGAGCAGCUGAUAAAGCCUAUGAGACAAAAGAGAAAGCUAAGGAGAAAGCCUAUGAUGUGAAAGAGAAGACAAAAGAUUACGCAAAAGAAGCCAAGGAUAAGGUGAAUGAAGGAGCAAGCAAAGCAUCUGAUAAAGCCUACGAGACAAAAGAGAGAGCCAAGGACUAUGCUGAGGACUCAAAGGAGAGGGCAGAUGAUAUGGCACAUGGUUUAAAGGAAAAGGCUCAAGAUAUUGGAGAGAAGACUAAGGAAACUGUGAAAGAAGUGUGGGAGACGGCUAAGAGCACGGCUCAGAAGGUGUCAGAAGCUGUGGUUGGGUCUGGUGAGGAUGCAGAUAAGGCUAGGGAUGAUGUUGAUAAGGGCUUGGAUGAUUUGUCGAAAAAGGCGAAUCAGAAUCGGAAUAAGGAUGAUGAUAUCAAGAGGUUCUAAAUUCACUAUUAUGUUUUUUUCUCUUUUUGUUAAUCUUAUAAGUAGUGUUUAUUAUCUUUUGUAUGUUGAAUAAGCUCUGUUUCAAAAACUUUGGUAUUAAAAGGGUUUGAUAGAGAGACUCUUUUGGUUUUGAGGUUGAUAUGUAAAAAGUAUAGAGUAGACAAAGAUAAAGUUCUAAAGCAGAUUAAGUUAACAAGUGUGUUAGAGGUGAACGUUAAACCUCACUUACCUCUAACACAACCAUUGACCAUUGUUAGUAGUUGCACUGGAGAGAAAGAACUUAGAAUUUGAGAAAGUAAACACUAAAGCAUCAUAACCAUCAUCAUCUUCUUCAUCCUUAUAACAUCAUUGUCACCUUCUUUGUGUACUAAAAAAAAAAGAGUUGAUUACCUCAAUUCGCUAUCUCCAGAAGCAUGUUUCUCUGUGAUAGACCGCAACUGUGCAAAUCCUUAGGAAGAGCGUCGUCAGGGAACCAGACGGAGCUUACGUCUAAACCCCAAUCUGCCUGUCCUCAUUCGCUAGAGGGAAGAGCACAGGGAACAAGACGGAGCUUACGUCUAAGCUCAAAUCUGACAAGACCAGAUCGACGCAGACUGAGCACAACCGUCGUCGUGUUAACUCAUCUGUCGCCUAUACAAAGUUCUUUCGUUAUAUUCCAAAGCGAGAGAAUACUUCUCUUUUAGGGUACCAAUUUGGGUACUCGAACCAUGGUGAGACACUUCAAACAUGCUAAGUCACAACCACUUUGACUGUUCGAGAAUUGGUGACCUUAUCUCAAUCUUUUUAAUACUUAUACACGUUUGUAACAAAUAAGUUUUAAAAUUCGAUUCGAUUUCCGGUUUAAUACGGUUCACGAACCAUAAAUUUUGACCCGUGAGACGACCAUAAGGGUUCUGUAAGACUCUGUUUUCUUCUGCUUCUCAUUGUGACAGUAAGUCGAAUGAUCAAGGGGAUAUUAUUAUUUACUAUGAUAUAAGAUUUACAGAAGACUCUAGAUAAGUUUGAGAAGCUUGUUGUUUUUUUAAAAAAAUGGUAUAAUUAGGUUAACGUAGAUGACAAGAAAUCAGUUGAAGUUAGAGAAAAAAAAUGGAGAGAAGAAUCACACUACAAAAAGCCGGUAAAGAAAAAGCUUAGAGGUCAUCGAGUUGAAAGAGUUGGCUGAGGAGAUAUCGUUAUGAUGUGAAAGAGAAGAUCUUAGCUUCAUCUUCAUCUUCGUCUUAAUCAUCAUCAUUCUCAGCUGUCUUUACACUCAAGUGUAAGUACUAUCGAGUAAAUAGAGAGCCAUCGUUCCGAUAGUAACAUAUGGUGGCCAUUGCGUCUUUUGUCGGGACAAGACACAAUAUGAUCAUAACAAAAUUAAUCUUACAGCAACUCUCAGUGACCAUAUAUGUCCUCGCAAGUUGUCUCUUCAAUUUCGGCUCUUCACAAGGAAAAACCCUAACCCUAACCCUAACUUUCAGUAGCCCACCAUUAUCUUUGUAUGUUUAAUAAGCUCGGUUUCAAAAACUUUGGUAUUAAAAGGUUUUAAUAGAGAGACUCUUUUGGUUGUGAGGUUGAUGGUAUGUAAAAGUAAAGAGUAGACAAAGAUAAAGUUCACCGUCUUUGUACUCAAGUGUAAGUAUGAUAUAUUUGAUAAAACCCAAAUCAAAACAUUAUAAUCAAAUGAACCAACCUAUAAUGAUAAAACAACAAUCAUAAACAAGAUAUGAAUAAUCAACUGGAUAAAUCGAACCAAUGUUGAUGAAACAAGGAUCUGAAUCUCAAAAGUGCUAGAGCUUAGCAAGAAGAAGAAAUCUCUAGGGAACCAUGAAUCUAGCACUCAUAUAUCACAAUCUCAUACUACAAAGUACAAAGUCGAAAUCAACAAUAAGGAUAUUAAAAAAACAAAAAGAGGUAAUUAAGAUUACCUCAAUUCGCUAUCUCCAGAAGGCAUGAUUCUCUGUGAUAGACACAAACCCCACACCUGUGCAAAUCCUUAGGAAGAGCGCUCAGGGAAACAGAGGAGCUUAGGUCUAAACUCUUCUGCCUCUACACUAGAGGGAAAGCACAGGGAACCAGACGGAGCUUACGUCUAAACUCCAAUCUGCCAAGACCAGAUCGACGCAGACUGAGAACAGAGAACUCAUCUGUCGACUAUACAAGUCUUUCGUCAUUUCCAAAGAGUGUUUCCUACUCUUUCAGGGGUACCAAUUUUGGGUACUCGAACAAUGGUGAGACACUUCAAUCAUGCUGAGUCACAACCACUUUGACUGUUCGAGAAGUGGUAACCUUAUCUCAAUCUUUUUAAUACUUAUACACGUUUAUAACAAAUAUGGUUUUUUAAAUUCGACUCAAUUUCCGGUUUAAUACGGUUAACGAACCAUAAAUUUUGACCUUUGAGAUGACCAGUUCUCCUAGUGCUAAGGGUUCUGUAAAACUCUGUUUACUUCUGCUUCUCAUUAUUGGAAUAUAAAAUUUUAUGAUAAUGAUAAAAAAGUUUUAACUUAUUAUAUCUAAGAUGUGUGACAGCAAGUCGGCUGAUCAAGGGGAUUUAAUUUUUUACUUUGAUAUAAGAUUUACAGAAGACUCUAGAUAAGUUUGAGAAGCUUGUUGUUUCAAAAAAGAAAAUGGUAUAAUUAGGUUAACGUAGAUGACAAGAAAUCAGGUGAAGUUAGGAUGAUUGAUCAAUACUUUUGUUUUUUUUGGAUUUUCAUGGAAGAUAUGAUACAGAGAAAGCAAGAGACUCAACUUUUGCAUUUGGCUUAUGCAUGAUUCACUACAAAAAGCCGGUAAAGAAAAAGCUUAGAGGCCAUCGAGACAAAAGAGUUGGCUGAGAACAAAUCGUAUGAUGUGAAAGAGAAGAUUAGCUUCAUCUUCAUCUUCGUCUUCAUCAUCAUCAUUCUCAGCUGUCUUUACACUCAAGUGUAAGUACCAUCGGGUAAAUAGAGAGCCAUCGUUCCGAUAGAAACAUAUGGUGGCCAUUGCAUCUUUUGUCCGGAAAAGACACAAUAUGAACAUAACAAAAUUAAUCUUACAGCAACUCUCAGUGAACAUCAGUUAUCUCUUCGAUUUUGGCUCUUCACAAGGCAAAACCCUAACCCUAACCCUAUGAGAAGGUUUCAAGGAAAUCGAAAAAGAAGUAAUUUAGGUAAAACAGCCUUCAAGUGCUAAUUGGUUCUGUAAAACUCUGUUUCCUCUGCUUUAUUUUGUGUUUAAUGAUUUGUAAGAAAACUUGAGAUCAGGAGAAUAUGGGGAAAUCUUAUGGCAACACACUAAUCAUGCCCACGUACUCCAGUUGUCUCCUCGUUCAAUUUUGGCCUCUGGCAUCUUCACGAGGCAAAACCCUAACCCUAACCCCAAGAGAAGGUAUCAGCUUUGAAAUCGUUCUACCUACAGCUCUGAACUAAAGAAGAAGAAGACAAAAAGAGAGGUAAUUUAGAUUACCUCUAAUUUUGCUACCACCAAAGGCAUGAUUCUUUAGUGAUAGACACAACAUCCUGACGACAGCCGUUAAUCGGGACUAUAGACUAGAUGCAGCUUACGCUUAAACUCUCAUCAGUCAGUCCCGAUUCGAUUUACUCCAAUGAGGAUUAGACAAUUCUCUUUAUAGGCGAGAUCUCUCUGUCCGACCAAAGGUAGAUCAAACUCGAGUUCCACCAGAGGCAUCCUCAGGAGGUGAGAAGCCAAACAAUUCAGUUUCCUUCUCCUUCAGGGUGAGACUCUAAAUCAUGCUGAGUCACCACCACUUUAUCUGUUCG
rnacentral:lncRNA from 1 species